rnacentral:lncRNA from 1 species
CACGAUAUAGAACAAUCCAAGUUAAGGUGAAAUAUUAUAAAAAAUUCUACUUAUCAUCUAGAGCAAGAUCAAUACUUCCGAUUUAAAAUUUAAGUCAUUUAUCACUAUUUUUUAUAAAAUUUUUAUUUUCAGCCGCUUAUUUUUAUACUGCUUUUCCUCUAGGCAAACAAAAUUAAAAAAUUAUAAAAUUUGAUUCUUAAAUAGUUUCAACACUGUAAACCAUGUUUAACAGAACUGAUCGCCAAAUCAGAUAUUUUAUCAUCGAAAAUAACUUACAAACACGAAAGCCUUCGUACUUUUGAAACCAUAGUAGCCAAGCGCUCUCUCUCUCUCUAUAUAUAGAGCAACAGAGAAAGAGAAUCGAGCUAGAAUACAAUUAAGUAGCAAACGGAUUCUGUUGCUACCAAUUCGUUUUCGAUGACACAGCUUCUGCAUCGACGAUAGGUACUAUUAAACAUGAUCUAUACCACUAAAAAUAUCUAAAAAUCAAAUUUUAUAUUUUUUCGAUAUUAUUCUCUUGUGCAUCAAGUAGACGCAAAAAUGAACCGCUAUAAAUAAUAUCCUUCAAAAAAUAAUGAUAGAAUUCUUACAAUCAAGAUCAAGAGUAUAGAUCAUAUUUUAAACAGGUUAAAAAAAUUUUCUAACUAAAAUUCAGUUGAUUUGGAUUUCUUUACGCCAUUAAACAAACAAAUGUCUCAUACCGACCAUCAAUAUUAUAAAUUUUGCAAUAUUUUAAUCACUAAAUCAAUUAUAUCAAAAAGACAUGAAAUUUACUGUCUAGAUACUUCAAGUAGUCUAGAUCAUGUUCAGCGAUACCGAUCAUCGAUUUGGAAGCUUCAACAUCAAAAAUAAAUUGGUAGCAACGUAGGACUACCCCCCAACUUUUGACUCGCGUUGAGUCCCUCGCCCUUUCCUGAACCCAGCUUGCUGGGCUCAGAAAGAGAUGGUCGGCAGAUCUGCCCCAUUUGCUACUAAUAGUAUUCAUACAUUUUCCGUUGGGGAUUUCUUGGAAUAAAUCCCCACAUCUUCCUUCUUAUGCGAAAUUUCCAAUCAAUCAGAAUUGAGGUUAAAAACCAUAGAAAGAGAUCUACAAUAUCUUGGAUGAUAAAAAAAAAUACUAUCACUAUCAGAUUAGCUGAUAUAUAUAAUGUUUGCUCAGAAUCAUAUCAGAUUAGAGAACAAGAGCUCUAAAGUAAGAAGAUCCUGACAAAAUUUCCAGCAGAUAUCAAGUAUCAACACAACACCAGUAAUUCUGCCACAAGAGUGAACUUGCAGACACAGAACAAAUUUAUAAAAAGGAAAAACCAAACCAGUUUCAUGAGCUAACAGAGAAGUUGUAAACGAAAAACCAACGAAUGAAAUAUGUUUAUCCAUUCAAAGAUACUAGUCCAUUCGACAAGCUCAAUAAGAGCCUCAAAAUCCAUAAUCCCCUGUCCUUUUCAUCAGAAAUAGCUAAAUCUUGCAUUACGUCGAAGUUUUGGUAGCAGAAAUCAGCAUAUGCUUCACUAUAAUGCAAGGAACGUGUAAACCGUUAAAAUUUUAAAAGCAACGAAUUUUCCCUUGACCUGUAAGAAGAGUCAUAAAUAUUCUAUAAAGGAACACUGUUAGAGGUGGCAAAAUGAUGAAAUUUUGUAGAAAUUUCAUGGGAGGCAAAGUGAAAAUCGUCACACUUCUAGUGGGGGUUCCUGCAAUCUUAGCCAAAUCAUCACAGAGGUUACGGAAUUUCAGAAGUUGGAAUCAGUUAACAUACUGAUAUCCUCAACAAAAGGAGAUACUACAUACACAUUGCUGGGCAUACCCGCAAUGUACUCUAUUCAGCACAUAUGAUAUUGUGAGAAAUGAACAAUAAACGGGCAUUACUUAAUGCCUUACGAAUGAGAUCUGGAUUAAUACCUCUCUAUCAACUGUGGGAUGGAUUUCUCCUCGGGAAGCCGCUAGAAUGCAAGUAUCAGAGGUUACAGAAGCACUCUUUGGAUCAGUCACAUUUUAAGUCGGUUCUCGACAAGCUUACUUAACUCAAAUUUCUUUACAGACCAAGCAUCUUCAGAAACUUCAGCUUCUUCGACAUCCUAAUUGGCACAACUUUCUUUCCCUAGUCUUUGGGAUCAGAUUCUCAAGUUCUUCCACAAUUCUCAACAUAAAAGGAUCGAGGGGGAGGUGUUAGAUUGAAUUAGUUUUGGUUCCAGCCAGAAGAUUGAGCUGAAUGGAACUGCCAAGAAGCAUCAGAAGAUGACGAGUAAUGAACAUGGGCAGGAGAAUCAAAGCUUUUCAAAUAGCCAGGAAAUUGCUCGAGUUCAUUUUGCGAUGAGAUUAAACCAGGAACGAAUGUUGGCGAGACCAGAAUUUGUCUUGGGGAACUAAAAGAUACGAGAGAAUCUGUGAAAGGGGUAAAGGGUUGUGGUAACAUAGAUCCUGGAGGACCGGGCCAGUCUAGUGAAGCGGGCUUUCCCUGAGAAACAGCUUCGGGGACAGGAAAACCUGGUCUCCCCGGACCCAAAUGGCUUUUGGGAGUAGAGAGAGGAAUAGUCUUAGCGAAGGAACUAAAGAACAUGGUUCCCGGAGGGCCAGGCCAAUCUACUAAACUGGGCCUUCCCUGAACAACAGCUUCUGCGACAGGCAAAGCAGGUCCUCCUAAUUCCAAAUGGCCUUUGACAGUAGUAGGGGGGAGGUGCGCUAUCCUAACAGCAAGCACCUUUCCUUCGAUCCUGUAGCCAUUCAUUCGCGCCACAGCCUUAGCAGCACAAAUAGGAUCAGCAUACUUAACAAACCCAAAUCCUCUGCUUAAACCAGUGGUUUUAUCCGUAAUCACUCUUGCAUCGGAGAUGCCACCGAACGGUAGAAAAAGUUCGAUUAGUUUAUCGGUGUUCAUGGAGUGUGGAAGGUAGCCCACGAACAAUUUGGCCUCAUCAAUUUCUUUAACAGGCAUGCGAUUGUAAUUUCCAGGUGAAGCACGCGUUCCUUUUUCCGGGCCAUCAAUCACAGGCAAAGUAGAAUUAGAGUGCGGCGAACGAUUAAAGGGGGGAAAGGAUGCAUCCCCAUUUGGAUAUCUAAUUCCAAAUCCUGGGCCAGAUGCGAUCAAUGGACAACUCACAGUAAAAUGACUCGGAUCACCACAAACAUUGCAUGAUUCACGGGACAUCUCAUUCUCAAGUUCAUAUGGAUUUUUCCCUGAAUCUCCAAGGAAGUUGAUUUGAUCAGUGCUUGUUUCAGUUCCCGAGGUGGACGCAGUCAAAGGGCAAUUGGCAGUCAAAUGACUUGAAUCACCACAAACAUCGCACAAUUCACUGAACACCUUAUCGACCUUGUGAGAUUUUUUCUUUUUCUGUGUUCCAUUCCAUUCAGCGAGUUCCCUGAGUUGGGCGGACUUAAUUUUCAGCGUUUCUUCUCUCACAGGAACCAGUAGCCUUUCGACCAUCUUAACCGCAGCAUCAAGAGACUGCUGAUUAUUGGCGUCUAUUUGCACAUAGACUUCAUCAUCCUCCCAUGGUGCGCUGCUUCCCUUCUUUGAGUCUCUUCUUCUCAUAUUAUAACCUUUACCACGGAUUAUAAUUUUGGCUCCUGUCUGUCUCUCCAUUCUCUGUAUUGUUCGACCUCCUGGACCAACUAUAAGGCCAAUAAAGUUGAAUCCUGGGUAUUUCUUAUGCGGUAUGUACAGCUUCUUGCAUAGCUUUUGAGGUUCGUAAUAGGAAAGAUGCUUGAAACUAGGGUUUUUCUUAAUCAACUCGCAAAUUAUACUUUGUCUUUGUGCUUCAAGUUUGAUGCGAAGCCUAACCUCCCUUGUGUUUUCCCUAAUACCCAAACAAUUGUAAAUAGGUGGUGGGGAUUGAGAUCUUUGAUUUUCCGGUCGGUCAUCAACCAGCUCUCGCUCUUUUAGCUUCUGAUUUAUCCUGAGAAGCUCCGAACUCAAUUUUUGGAAUUCUGGGUCUCGAAGAUUCUCAAGAACUGUAUCAUCUGCAAAAUCGGGUAACUUUAAGGGGCCCAAAGCCUUCAAUUUGGCAUCAUUGGUGGCCCAUCUCGUCUUUUUCCUCUUUUUGGCAAAUUUAGUUGUUUCUUCGUCAAAUCCUUCCUUUACAUCCCAUCCACGUCGCUUUCUCUUACCAGAGCUCCCUGUGUUCUCCUCUUUUCUUGAAUCCUCGUCCCGCUUCAUUCGCUUUUCUGAAGAUGUUUCUAGUUUAUCAGUCGACCUUCUCUUUUUCCCCGAGCUUGAAUUAGCACCUUCCAACGGCAAAUUGUCAUCAUGAUGCUUAGUCCCUUCUUCACCAGGUUCCUCCUCAAUUUCCUCAUCUGCAUCUUUCUCAUUUGACUCCUCUUCAUAAUCAGCAUAUUCCUCAUGAGGUUCGUCAUCUUCAUUAGACUCUUCUUUCCAAUCAUCUUCUUCCGAUGCGUCUCCAUCCUCACUAGCUUCCUCAUUACAAACAAUUUCAUCAUUAUUUUCCUCGAUCAGUUCUUCCUCAGAUGGAUCUUCUUCCUCCUCACUCAAGCUUGGAUCGACAGAAGUUUCCUGCCUCGUCAUACUUGUCCUUCUUCAAAAGUUUGUAGGAGAUCUACAACUGAAAUCAACCAUCAAAACACCAACCCGAAAAAGACCACAAAAAUGUUAAAGCCUGCAGAUUACAUCAGUGAAUGAAACAACAACUAAUUAAGUGAUAAAAAUCUAUUAAAUAAUCAAAGCAAAAUUUUACCCAUUCUCACACCCUCAUGUCAGAGCAAAUAUAUUUCUUUCCGUCAAUCGACCCUCUAUUCUUGAAAAAAGAUGGAGUAAAAUACUUUUACCAUCACUUUCGCAUCUCUAACUUCUCACUCAUUCUAACGCUCAUGUCAUUAUAUUUAAACCCUAAAUCCUACACCCUUGUAAAUCUUAAGAGGACAUUUUUCGGCAUAACCGUCCGAACUGUGAAAAAUUGCAUAUAUCUGCAAAUUUUUUAUACAAAUUCCACUUUUUUAGGUAUAAUUGCAUCAUUUCCAAACUUUUGCAGGAAUUCAUAUUCAAUUGUGCCUAAAUCAAACGUAAUAGAAGGCUUUUAAGACAAAAUUGCUUAAUUAUUACAAAAACUACGAAUUAUAUUAAAGAACAAUUUCAAAUCAGUAAGAGCACUAUAAAACCCACAAAAGUUAAGAGGCGAUUUUCACCAUUUUCACUACCGAUCUCCUCAAGAACCUCACUUUAACAUGCUAAUUUAGGAUCAAAACGCCACUACAUGAAUCUAUCAGAUUCCUAAAUCUAAGAUUCACGAGACAAAUUGACGUGAAAAGUAAAGGAUAAAUGCGAAAAGAUUGCAUAUUUGGCCUUCUUGAAACAAACCCAAAUCAAUAAAUCAAAAGAAACCAUGGGUUUCUUGCCCUAGAUCGAUAAUAAACACCACGAACAAGAUAAGUUACGGGAAAAUGAGAAAAAAAUGUCCUAAAAUUGCACAAAAAAUUCAUGCAAUCAUUGGAUUAAACCCUACGAAGCCCUUUAAACGAGGAUUAUAGAGAAAUUGGAGAAAAAUUCGAGGAUUGGGGUUGGAAAUAACCUCUCUUCUCAAAAGGGGGGGGGCGGGGGGGUGAGGAUCGAGAUCGGAGCCCUAAUUUCGCCUCAAAUCUCAAUCGAACGAUUUGUGCGACGGGAUUAAGGUCGACUCAGGAUCGGGAAAUUUGCGUAUUUGUCCUCGAAAUUUUACGUAAUUUGCAAAUGUUACGAAGAAAGUUAAAUGAGAAAGGAGGGAAAUGAGAAAAAAAAAAAAAAAAAAAAAAAGUGAAAUGUGUAACUCAUAACGACAUAAAAUUUAACAUAAUAAUUACAAACUGUUUAUAAUAUAAAUAUAAAUAAGUAAAUAAAAAAUAAUUUUUAUCAUAUUUUGGUGUAGAUAAAAUAGUUUUACAAAAGGAUGGAAAUGGUUGAUAUGACGGGUAAGAUAUGACGGUAGAAAUAGAGAUAAUUAUGCCGUGUGUGUGUGUAAUAUAAUAUAUAUAUAUAUAUAUAUAAUAUAUAUAUAUAUAUAUAUAUAUAUAUAUAUAUAUAUAUAUAUAGAGUGAGGCUACUAUGCUAUCGAGCCGGAGCCUUCCGUGCUUCCACCUUGUUUUCGAUGUUGCGACUUUCGAAUCGUCGAUCGGCUCCGUUAAACUUGAUCUAGAGUAUUUGGAGUACUAGAAAAUAAAUUUUAUGAUUUUUCGAUAUCAUUUGCCUAGUGAACGAAGGGCUCAAAAUCAACGGCUGAAAAUAAAAAUCUUAUAAAACGUAAUAAUAUGACAUUAAAAUUUUAAAUCAAAAAUAUUGAUCUUGUUUUAUUAGUAUAAAGAAUUUUCUAUCAAAAUUUCACGUAAUUUGAAUAUUUACACCGUUAAACUUGCAAACGGCUCACCAUGGCCAUUAAAAUUAUUAAUUUUGAGUCCCUUCGAUCACUAGGCAAAUGAUAUCGAAAAAUAAUAAAAUUUAUUUUCUAGGUACUCCAAAUACUCUAGAUCAAGUUUAACGGAGCCGAUUGACGAUUUGAAAAUCGCAACAUCGAAAACGAGAUGGAAGCACGGAAGGCUCCGUGCUUCCGAUAGCAUAGUAGCCUCACUCUCUAUAUAUAUAUAUAUAUAUAUAUAUAUAUAUAUAUAAGCACCUAUUUCAAAUUUCUAUCGGUCGCCGGACCUAUUUCAAAAUUUCUCGCAAAAAAAAUAACGUAACAAAACAAACUUUUAGUUUCUAUUUUUUCUCGAAACAUUAAUAUUUCUUAUUCAAUAUCUUUUCUUUUAAAGAUAAAUAACUAUAUAUUAUCUGCAUUCUAUCUAUUAAUAUUUUAUUGUUAUAUUCACUUUUAUUGAUUGUAAUCAAUAAUCAAAUUUAAAUUUAAUUGCAAAUAUAUAUCUAAAUUUUAAUAUUAUUUUAUUUUAAAAUUUUAUUGACCUAAAAUUUAGAGUUGAAAUUUAAUUAUAUACUGUAAAUUUCUAAAUUUUUAAAUUAAAAUUAAAUUUGAGUUUUAUUCGUGAAUUAAAUUUACUUUGGAUAUUAAAUUUGAAUUAAUAAUUAAAAUUUCUUUAUUAAAGUGAAAAAAAUAAAAUUUAGAUUUUGAGUUAAACGUGAAUUAAAAUUUUGACAUUUUUAGUUAAAAAUAUAUAUUUAAAUUUUGGAUUCAUACGAAUUCAAAAAUAUACAAAAAUAUUCAAUGCAUAUCUAUAUCUAUAUUAUAUAUGUGUAAAAUAAAAAAUACAACUAUAUAAUUAUUAUCGAUAAUAAUUAUUUAAAUUUGAGUUAGAGAUCACAGUAGAAGAUGGUUAAUUAAGACAACGGUUAAAUAGUAAAUGCAUACCAAUGUAUUAGAAAGAAAAAAUUUCUUUUUUACUCCUCAAAACGUCUGUAAGAAAAAAAGUUUUCUUUUUUCGAAAAUAAAAUUUCGGAAAAUGAAAAGAAAAGUUUUCUAUAAAAUAUGAAAAAUAAUUUUCAAAAAAAUAUAUUUUUUCUGCGAACCAGACACAAGGAAAAAAAAUUUUCAACCUAAGAUAAAUUUUAUAGGAUAUUUUUCGAGGAACCAAUCAGGUCCCCAAGCUAUUUGGAAUUGUUCCUCGGAAUAGGUUGUUACCUACAAAAUAUAUAUGCCAAUCUCUUUCUUUAUUAGCAAAAACUUUAUAAUUUUAUAUUUACAAAAUUAUUCUUGUGAUGCCGCUAAUCUUAUCAUUCCGACCCUAUCUCAGUCGAGACUCAUCUCACACACCGAUACCAACUGUGCCGUCCCAACUUUUCAGGGAUCACCUAUCCUAAGACUACUUCCGUUCUAAUAUGCUUAACUCUCUUAUCCUCUUGGACCUUGCCACUAUCCAAAAUGCUUAAGUCAGAUUAAGAAUUUAAUCCUACUAUAUCGUUCUUAUAUGUAGGACUACUUGGGAUCUCAUAAUUCUAAUAUAUGUAAAAAAAAAAUAUUACUUAUAAAUUUUUACUUCUUUCUCUCUAAAAUUUAUUUUCAAUAACACUAUAUUUAUAAGAAAAAAAAUUAGCCCCGAAGUGCAGGUGCAUUAACUAGUAUGCUCAUGAUGGUUCAAUUUUCGACCAUUCCCAUUCUUAAUUUUCCACAUUUUAUUUACUUUAUUUUAUUUUAUAUUAUCUUGCUAAAUACGCACAUUAAUUACACGUAAAAAUGUGAACUUGCUACGUAGUACGUACUAGGGCCGUUACUAUACUACAAGUUUACUAUACUACAAGUGUUCCACGUUUCCUCUCCAACCCUCUAUAAAUACGUGAAUUAUUUGCAUUACUAUUCCAACCACCACCAUAUCAUCUUCUUAGAGAGAGAGAGAGAGAGAGAGAGAGAGAGAAGGAUCAGCAAUGGCUUCGGUGUUCGAGAUCGGAAAGUUCGGUGCCCAGGUGAUCAGCGUGCCGGCGGAGAAGAAGCGCGACAAGGCGUCGUCGCCGCCUCUGCCUCCGAAGCCUGUUUUGAUCGUCUCGCCGACCGUCGCGGGUGUUUACCCGGUCGCAGUCUUCCUGCACGGCUUCAUGCUUCAAAACCAAUACUACACGCAGAUUCUGAAGCACAUCGCGUCUCACGGCUUCAUUGUUGUCGCACCGCAGGUCUGACCGUCUAUUUUUCUUACUAGUUGGACAAUCGUUUUCUGACGGUUUAAACUUUUACUGAUGUUCGUCAAAUGAUGCGAACUUCGUUGCAGCUCUACACCUUCAUCAGCACACAGUCGACGGAGGACGUGGAAUACGCUGUUUCCGUCGCCAACUGGCUGCCCGACGGGCUCCAACCUCAGCUCCCCGAUGGUGUCGAGCACGAUCUUACGAAGCUCACCCUAGCCGGACACAGCAGGGGCGGGCAUGCCGCCUUCGCCGUCGCCCUCGGCCUUGCAAAAACCCCCCUCAAAGUGAAAUUCUCAACCCUAAUCGGAGUCGACCCCGUCGCGGGAAAGAGCAAAUCGUCGCAGACGCCCCCGAAGAUCCUCACGUACGAGCCGUCCUCCUUCAACCUCGACAUCCCAGUCCUAGUCCUCGGGACCGGACUCGGAGACGAGAAGCCGAACAUGCUGAUGUGCAAGUGUGCACCGAAAGGAGUCAACCACGAAGAGUUCUAUUACGAAUGUAAGCCGCCGUGCUAUCAUGUUGUUUUGAAGGACUACGGGCAUUUGGACAUGUUGGAUGACGAUGCCCCAAAGAUUGCAAGGUACGUUUGUAAGAAUGGGAAGAAUAGCAAGGACGACAUGCGGCGGAGCACCGCAGGGCUCAUCGUCGCGUUCUUGGAGGCCUACGUCGAAGAUGAGAAAGACGACCUCGAAGCAAUACUGGAGGAUCCUCAGCUGGCGCCGGCCGUGCUCGACCCGGUCCGUCGCCGUGAAGAAUGAGAUGGAUUCUGUAUUUUAAAAGAAAUUUUCAUUUCAAUUUCAAAUUAGGGUGUGUUUGGUUUAACGUAAAACUAUGAAAAAAAAAUUUAGUAGAAAAAAAAAAUUUCGAGAGGAAAAUAAAUUUUACGUCAUCUAAUUUUUGGUUUGUAGGAAAAAAAAUAUAAUUUUCGUUACAGUUGUUUGAUUGAAAGAAAAAAAAAUAUAAAUAAAAAAUUAUUAUCUAUAUUUUUUUAUUUCAUAUAUUAUAUAUUAUUAAUAUAUAAUUAUUAUCAUAUUACAUAUAUUAGUAUUAUAAUUUAUGUUUAUAAAUAAAAUAUAUUUAAAAUAUAUUAUGCAAUAAUUAAGUAUAUAAUAUAAGAUAUAAUAGUAUAUAUUUAAUACUUUAAAAUAAAUUACUAGAUAUUUAUAAAUAAUAUUUAUAAAUAAAAUACUAUCUUUAAUAUAUGUAUAUGAGCUAGGCUGGUAUACUAUCGGUAACACGGAGGCAUCCAUGCUACCAAAUUGCUUUCAAUGAUAUGGCUUCCAAAUCGACGAUCGGCUCCAUUAAACUUGAUUUACACUAUUUAAAGUAUUUGCAAACUAAAUUUCAUAAUUUUUCGAUAUUAUUUGGCUAUUGAUUAAAAGGUCUCAAAAUUAACAAUUUUAAUGGUAGAUGUGAUGCGUUUGUGAAUUUGAUGUUUAAAAUAAUUCAAAUCUGAUAAAAUUUUUAUAGAAAAUUCUUUUCACUAUUUAGUGUAAGAUCGGUACCUCCUUAAAUUCAAAUCUUUUAUCAUCAUUUUUUAUGAGAUUUUUAUUUUCAGCUGUUAAUUACUCGUUUGAUAGGUAAAUAAUGCUGAAAAAUUAUGAAAUUUAGUUUCCAAUUACUUUCAAUAGUGUAGAUUAAGUCUAAUAGAACCGCUCGUCGAUUUGGAAGCUGCAUCAUUGAAAAUAAUUUGAUAGUACAGAGGCCUCCGUGCUACCGGUAGUAUACCAACUUAGCUUAGCUCGAGUCCGGCUGGAAUACUAUAGAUGCACCAAGGAUUUGGUGCUAUCGAGUUUUUCACCGUUAGAUUUAACCCUUUGAUUAUUUUUACCUGUUAGAUUAUACUAUUCAACCAAUCACUCACUCAACCCUAGGGGGUCCGCAUCAUCCUAACCACGCAAUUCUUAAUCCAAGGGCUAAAAAACUAAUAGCACCAAUAGUUUAGUGCUAUUGAUAGUACUCUAGCCUAGUUCUAUAUGUAUGUUAAGGGUUUUUUUUGCAAAUAGCCCCCUGAGCAAUUUUUAUUUUAAAAAUAGCCCUAUCAAAAUUAAAAUUACAAAAAUGGCCCUGUCUCUGCCACGCAGGUGCCACGUCAGCGCCACGCGAGGCAGGGCUGGGGCCAGGGUAUUAAGUUGAACACGGUAAAUCAUUCACUAUAUCUAAACACAGUGAAUGGUUCACCGUUGUUUUACGUAUUUUUUGUAUAUUGAAAAGUGGAAUAAGGAGUAGGGUGUCAAUAGGUAUGGAUAUCCGAAAAUUAUCCGAUCAAACCCAAUAAAUUUAUAUAUAAUAUUAUAUAUAUAUAUAUAUAUAUAAAAUUUAUUCGGGUUUGGAUUCGGAUAAUAUUUCGGAUAUCCAUACCUAUUGACAUCCCUACUCCUUAUUCCACUUUUCAAUAUACAAAAAAUACGUAACAAAAAAUACGUACUAAACACGGUGAACCAUUCACCGUGUUUGAAUACGGUGAAUGGUUCACCGUGUUCAACUUAACAUACGGGCCCAGCCCUGCCCACGUGGCGCUGACGUGGCGCCUGCGUGGCAGGCUCAGGGCCAUUUUUGCAAAUUAAAUUUUAACAGGGCUAUCUUUAAAAUAAAAAUUUGUCAGGGAUCUAAAUGCAAAAAAAGCCCUAUGUUAAGGAUAGUAUUUUAUUUAUAAACAUUAUUUAUAAAUAUCUAGUAAUUAUGUUAUGGUAUUAAAUAUAUACUUUUGACGGUGCUUCUUUACAUAACUCAUUUUCUUAUAAAAAAAAAAGUAUUUAGGAGUCCAAUUACUUGGUUGGCUUUGUAAACCAAUUGGAAUUUUCUUGUUCUUCCAAUGUUUCGAAUUAUCAAAUGAAUAAAGGAGUUUAAGUGCGUAAUGUGCUUAAAACCGGAGAGCUACUAAGCACUAAUUUUGCAAAAAAUAUUCAAUAUAUAUAAUAAAUUAAUAAUGGGUUCAAUCUUAAUAGGUUCAUGAACUCUUGUCCCUCCCUUAAUGAAACCAAAACAAUAUCAUGACCAGAUUAUAUUGUAUAAAAUUUAAAAUUAAAUCCUUCUCAAAAUAAGUUGAUACUAUAUAUUCACCAUCUUCUUCCAUUAAUAUGGUUUGAUUGAAAAACUUAAUUAGAACCCAAAAAUUAGUUUACAAGGUGCCGCAAGAGCCACAAGUUUACAAAACGAAGCAGCUAUAUAUACAACAUCACGUACCCACUGCAACAAUAAAAUGAAUAGGAACACCACGCAAUUUGGAGAAGAUGAUGAACAGUUUAUAAGUUGUGCUAAGUCCAGCUGUAAUAUGAAUGUCACCGACCGAACUCGGAUAAUCUGAUUUCGCCUCUCGUCUCAAGCACUCUCUCAUAUACUGUGGAACAGAUGGUAAUUCUUUACCAGAAUACACGUGAGAAAGUGGCAAAAACCGGUACCCCUUUAUAUAGAGUACAAAUUGACUUUUCAUCAAAGUCUAAUAAAAAUUUUAUUUAAUUUAAAUAGAUGUAAAAAGAAUAAGAUAUAUCAUGUCAAGUGGUUAUAUAUAUAUCAUGUCAAGUUUUAAGAUUUAGAUGCCGUAUGAACCACAAGAUUGAACAGAUCAUCUCAACGAAAUAUCUGAAGCUCAAUUAUCUAUACUACUUAUAAAAACGUGAGUUUUAAAUUUUUUUCUCUUUCCAAAAAUAUCUCUAUCUUUUCUACUAAUAUUUUUAUGUCCAGUAAUUUGCAAGUUUCAAAUAAUUUUUCAAAUAAUAAUUUAUUCUUAAAUAUAGAUCUUAAAUUUUUACCGUUGGAUCUCAUCCAAUGAUUAAAAAUUAAAGUAUCUGUCACUUUUCUUGACAAAAAUACCCUCAAUAUCCGUUAUCUCCUAUCUACGCGUUUUACAAAUAUCUACGCAUUUUCUCAAACGUAAUUUCCGUCAUAACUUAAAAUAUCCGUUAUAUCAUAUCUAUGGGUUCCUUAAAAAUUUUGUUUCUCACACACGUUUUCUCAAACACUAAUAUCCGUUAUCUCCUAUCUACGCGUUUUACAAAUAUCUAUGCAUUUUCUCAAACGUAAUUUUCGUCGUAACUUAAAAUAUCCGUUAUAUCAUAUCUACGGUUCCUUAAAAAUUUUGUUUCUCACACACGUUUUUUCAAACGCGUCAUAAAUUAAAAUAUCCGUUAUCUCCUAUUUACGUAUUUUUCAAAUAUUUUCUUUCUCACACGUAAUACUUGGGCCAAUCACGUAAAAUAUUACUAAAAAGAUUUAAUACCCACCUAAGCAAAACUAAAUUAUUAAUUAAAUAUAAUUUUAUAUUUUUAAAUUUUUUUAGUAAAAUAUUCAAAAAUAAUACCCGCCAAAAUAUCUUAUGUAUUUCUCAAAUAUAAAACAUAUCUUAAUGCACUCGCAUAUUAUAUCUACAUAUCUUUGCAUAUAAUAUCUACACUAUCCAAUUUUUAUCUCAUCUUAAUAUUUAUUCACACACAGAAUAUAUUUUUUUGAAGACAUAUUUUUUUAGUAACAUCUUUUUUUAUUUUCACCUAUAUUUUUCUCAAAUAUUUUUCAUAUGUCCACAUCGCUAGCACCAGUAUAUCGUAGCAUAUUGUUAUCGUCAACACCAACACAUUAUCACUUUCGCCACCUUCGUCAUAAUAGAGGUAUUUUGAUCUCACCUGAAAUUUUUUUAUUUUUUUAAUGUGCAUUUAUAGUAUUUUAGCAUAUUUUUUUGAUAUUUUUUUAUUUUUACAUAUACGUUUAUCAAAUAUAAAGUAUAUAUAGUGUAUAAAACAUGCAAAAAUUUUUCAAAAUAUGAGCGAUAGGAUUCAAAAUUCUUCUAAAAUUAUAUUACUAUUUUUACGAUCUUUUUCAAAUCAAUAUAUAUAUAUAUAUAUAUAUAUAUAUUUUUUUUUUUUUUUUUUGAGGGUGUAAAAAAUAUUAAAAUUUUGUCAAAUUAAGUUCAAUUAAUUUGAACAUUAAUUGGAGAAUAGUAGUAUAGUUAGUUCUAAUUUCAAUUUCAUUAAUAAUUUUAAAUAAAUAUAUAUUUUAGAAAAAAAUUAUUUGAUAUUUUUAAAUAAGUUUACGUUCAUUGCACGUGAAUAUGACUUUUAAUAAAUAUCUGAAGCUCAAUUAUUUAGUACUUGCAACAACUGGGUACAACACGUGUUACAUCCUUUUAGGAUUUUUAUGUCCUUAAUUAAUUAAUUAAUUAGCAUACUAAAAACUUUAUAUUUAGCAUUACAAGCUUGUUUUUUUUAUUUUAUUUAAUGAACUUAUUAACAUCACAUAAUAGAAUUUAAUACCUUAUUAAAAGCUUAAUUAGGUAGCACUAAAUUUAUUUUUAAAAAUAAAGGCUAAAAUAAAAACUCAGGAAAAAUCAACAAACGCUAGUACAAUAGAAACUUAUAAGAAAUUUAAGAAAAGUUUCAAAUUACGAUUCCACAAAAUGCAUGCAUAUUAUUCUUCUCUCUCUCUCUCUUCUUCUCUCUCUCUCUCUCUCUCUCUAUAUAUAUAUAUAUAUAUAUAUAUAUAUAUAUAUAUAUAUAUUCUAUAAUUUAUGUAAAAUCACAAAAAAUAAAUAAAUAAAUAAAAAGGAGAAAACUUAUUAUUCCUUAAAAGUGAUUAUUGUUGCAUUCCCGAAUAGACCCCUCACAUUAAAUUUUUUUUUUUAUGGACACUCUUAAAACAUUUUUUUUCAUUUGACGUGGUGGUAGGAAUGUCAAUGGAUAUGAAUAUCCGAAAUUUUAUCCAAAAUCGAAUCCGAACGGGAUGGAAUUACCCGAGUUAAACGGUUAUGGAUUCGGUUAUGGAUAUAGAAAAUAAAAACCUUAUGAAUAUGGAUACGGGUAUGGAUUUUGUAUUUAACCGAUCCGAACCGGAACCCAAACCCGAAGCCGAACACGAAUAAAUUAUAUAAAUGCAUAAUUUAUUUUUCUUUAUUUAUAUAAUAUAUAAAAUAUUUAAUAAUUUUUUAUCUUUAGAUCUUCAUCCAACAGUAUGGAUUUUUAAAACCCGCCGAAGUCGGGUCCGGAUUCAGGUUUCGAGUUUUUGGUCAGGUACGGAUAUGGGUAUGGAUUUUUAAAACCCGCCGGGUUCGGGUCCGGAUUCGAAUUUUAAUUUGGUUUUCGGGUUCGGGUUCGGAUUUUUAAAAACCCGACCCAAAUCCGACCUGUUGACAUCCUACGUGGUGGGUGAGUGGAAAGGGGUUUUUUUUUUUUGGAAAAUUUAUGAGAGGAUUUAUUUUAUUUUAAAAUAAUUAUAAUAAUAAUAAUAAUAAUAAUAAUAAAGAUUGUGGGCCCCAUGUAAGGAGAUAUGAUAGGAUUAGUACAUGUUUUUUGGAUAAACUUCAAAUAUCAUAUCUGUGGUUUCGCACUUUCUCACUUUAGUGCCCUGUAGUUUAAAGUGUAUCAAGUUAGUGUCAUAUGAUUUUAUUUUUAUCUUUUCGUCAGCUUUUUCGUUAAUAUUUCAUAAAUUAUAUAUAAAAAAUUUCAGAUACCCCACCUUGGUUUAUCGAAUAUUCACUUUAGUAACCUUUAAUUUUAACUUUGUCAUUGAUUUAACGAAAAAAAUUAGUAAAAUCGAUAAUAAAAAGAUAAAAAUAAAAUCAUAUGGCACUAAAUUGAUACACUUUAAAUCGCAUAGUAUUAAAGUGAGAAAGUAUGAAACCACAAGACGAUAUUUAAAUUUUUUUCUAUUUUUUUAAAUUGUGGACCCCACGCUUCUUUCACAAAGAGAGAUGGUGGGGCCUACAUCUUUUUUGAAAAUGAGAUAUGAAAAAGCUAUAUUUAUGAAUCUCAAAUGACUCCCCUUUUUAAUUUUGAUGUGGGCCCCCUUUCUCUCACAUGUGAGAGAAAGAAAAUAAUAAUAAUAAUAAUGGGGGUUUACAUUUUUCUCAUACCAAUACGAAGAUAAAUUCGAGGUGGGUUUAUAUUCAAGCUUAAGAUUAGAUUUGAGCUAGACUUGAAUCAGAUUUGACUUAGCCAUAUUUGAAUUUUAAAAUUUAAAUCUAGCACAUCACCCUCUUUUCUUAUUGCACUGAAAUAUAGACGGUGGCUAGACCCGAAAGAUUAAGAGAAUUAAACGUAUUAGGACAGGAGCAGUUCAAUAAUGGGUGACCACAUGAGAAGUCUGGGCGUCACAGUUGGUAUCAAAGCUAAAUACCAGUCGGAAGUGUGAGAUAGGUCUCGACUGAACCAAAAUUAUACAGUGGGGAGAGCGAGACUCUCAUACUGUUGAUUGCUGUAAGUGAAGCGCAGCUAACCGUAAAGUUGGUUUAGACUAGCGAGACGAGUCUCAUAUCGCAUGUUACUUAUGAGUUGAGCCUAACGAGGACAGCAGUGCUUGGGGGGGAGAAUGUGGAAUAUGAGACCCUGUAUAGUCCUAUAUAUAAAAUAUAAUAGGACUAAAAAUUCUUAACCCAACUUAAACAUUUUGGAGAGUGACUAGGAUGGGUAACUCUCUGGAAAGUCGAGACGUUCCAUACUAAACAUUUUACAAAUCUACUGUUCAAUAUGAUGUCGAGGUUCGGACGAAAAUAGCACGUUACCCGCUUCGUUUAUUUCAUUUCGAAAUAAACUUAGCUAAAAAUAUGAGUCAACUAGGAUUCGAACUUGGGUCUCGGAUACCAAUUAACAAGCCCUUUGCCACUUGCUCUAGGGAUGAUCGGUCACGAGAUCAACAAAUUACCUCAACUAAAAAUUAGUAAAGCGUGGUCUCUCAACGAAGUCGCUCUCAGUAAUAAUAUUCUUAAGAAGCACAAUAGUACGAGAAUAUAAUUUCAUUAAAAUUUGAGAAUGUUAUUUUGAUCCUAUCUCAUAUAAAUGGUGUCCACAAAAUCUAAAGCUCAAUUAUUGAGUACUUGCAACAAACGUGGUACUAACACAAGUUGCAUAUGCUUUUUAGCUUUUUUAUGUCCUCAAUUAAUUUGCAUGCUCUACAAGCUUUUUUUUUUUUGUACUAUUAAUGAACUUAAUUAACAUCACAUAAUAGAAUGAAUUGAUUUAAUACGUUGUUACAAGCUUAAUUAGGUAGCACUAAAUUCAUUUUUAAAAAAUAAAGGCUAAAAUAAAAACUUAGAAAAAAGUCAACAAAGGCUGGUUACAAUAGAAACUUCUAAGAAAUUUAAGAAAAAGUUCCAAAUUACGAGUCCACAAAAACAAAAACAAAAACAAAAACAAAAGGAGAAAACUUAUAUAUCCUCACAUUUAAUUUUUUUGAUCGACACUCUUAAAACUCAAAUGAAUAUAUAUAUUUGAGUUUUUGUAAUUAAUCAGGUCAAAAUUUUUUGUUAAAUUUCAUGGAUUAAUUGGACAUUAGUAAUUAAUAAUGUGAUUUAUUUGCUACGAGAUUGUUUACAGUAUUAAAUAUGAUAAAAUUGUCAAUUAAUUUGCUAAAAGUAUUAAUUUAUUUGGCUAAAAUUACUUAAUUUUCAAAGAAUCAAAAGUUAAGGGGGUCACAAUUAAACAUUUAUAAAUGGAAAAAUUUUAUGGAGAACUCCUCAACUACAGGCUAUUCGGAAAUAAACCCCUACAUUUCUUUUUCUUAGUCAAUUAAUCCGUAUUUUUUCAACUUGUAUUAUUUUAACUUUAAGUUAUCUUUAAAUUUUAAUUAAAAUUUUCAAAUCGUAUCCAACUGUGUAAAUUUAUUGCAUCAAAAAAUUUAUUUAAUUUACUAAAACUCCACUACUCAUAUAUAUUUAUUCUAAUUUUGAAAUUUUGAAAUUUAAAUUGUAUUCUACGGCACAAAUUUAUUUCAAUCUUAAAUUUUAAACUGCACUUCGCAAUCGAGAUUUAUUUAAUUUAUCCUACAAAAACUUUGCAGUCCAAAUUUAUUCUAAAAUUAAUACGUAAAUCAUAUUCGAUAACUUAUUAAUUUUGACAAUUAAUAUUUAUUAUUAUUAUAGUUCAAAUAAUUUGGGAAUGAAUAAAUCCAAAAGCACAGGGACUAAUCCAACACGUAACUAAGUGUUAAUUUCCGAAUACGUUUGUAACGGUUCAAUUUACGGCCAUGCUCUGUUAUUAAUUUCUCAUGUUUUAUUUAUUUAUUUUAUUUAUUGAAAAUAACUUUGAACAAUACAAGGAAAAGUGUGAACUUGCUACUAGUGCUAUUACUACUGCAUGUGCUCCACAUUUCCUCUCCAUCUCUCUAUAAAUAUGUGAAUUAUUUGCAUUACUAUUCCAACCCACCACCAUAUCAUCUUCUUAGAGAGAGAAAGAUAUUGAGAGAGAGAGAGAGAGGGGGGGAGAAGGAUCAGCAAUGGCUUCGGUGUUCGAGAUCGGAAAAUUCAGUGUCGAGGUGAUCGUCGUGACGGCGAAGGAGAAGGGCGAUGAGGCGGCGUCGUCGUUGCCUCCUAAGCCUGUUUUGAUCCUCUCGCCGACCAACGCGGGUGUUUACCCGGUCGCGGUCUUUCUGCACGGCUUCUUGCUUCAAAACCGAUACUACACGCAGCUUCUGAAGCAUGUCGCGUCUCACGGGUUCAUUGUCGUCGCACCGCAGGUUUGACCGUCUAUUUGUCUUACUAGUUCGACGGCUGUUUUCUGACGGUUUAAACUUUUACUGACGUACGUCAAAUGAUGCACCGCAUUGCAGCUCUACACCUGCAUUCUGGCGAACUCGACGGAGGACGUAGAAUCCGCUGCCGCGGUCGCCAACUGGCUGCCCGACGGGCUCCGACCUUUGCUCCCCCGCGGUGUCGAGCCCGACCUUACAAAGCUCGCCCUAGCCGGACACAGCAGGGGCGGGCACGCCGCCUUCGCCGUCGCCCUCGGCCUCGCAAAGACCCCCCUGGAAGUGAAAUUCUCAACCCUAAUCGGAGUCGACCCAGUCGCGGGAACAAGCAAAUCGUCGCAGACCCCCCCGAAGAUUCUCACCUACGAGCCGUCCUCCUUCGACCUCGACAUCCCGGUCCUAGUCCUCGGGACGGGGCUUGGAGAUGAGAAGAAGAACAUACUCUUCCCGGCGUGUGCACCAAAAGGAGUCAACCACGAAGAGUUCUACUACGAAUGUAAGCCUCCGUGCUACCACAUUGUUAUGAAGGAGUACGGACAUUUGGACAUGUUGGAUGAUAAUGCCCCGAAGAUCAUCGCAAAGUGCCCUUGUAAGAACGGGAAGAAUUGCAGGGACAUCAUGCGGCGGACCACUGGGGGGCUCGCCGUCGCGUUCUUGAAGGCGUACUUCGAAGGCGAGGACGGCUAUCUCCAAGCAAUACUGGAGGAUCCUCAGCAGGCUCCGACGGUGCUCGACCCGGUCUCUCGCCGCGAAGCGAAGAAUGAGAUGGAUUCUCUUGUUGCCUUUCUCUAAAUUUAAGCUUCGACAAAUUGCAAUGUAAUAGUACAACAAUAAGAUCAAAUAAGGUCAUUGUUUUACACAUCUAUCUUUUAGAGGAUAUGAGCUCAAAUCAUCGUCCCGAAGUCAAUUUUAAGACAUUUGAUUCGACGAUCUGAACCGUUAAAAGAAAAAAAAAAAAAUUUAAGGUAUAUAAAGAAGUUAGUAAGAGUAGGUCUUGUGUGCUAUUAGGUCUCCGUACUUUUAAGUUGUUUUCGAUGAUGGAGCUUCCGAAUUAACGAUCGGCACCGUUAGAUUUAAUCUAGCGUAUUUGAAAUAUCUAGAAAAUAAAUUGUGGUUUUUCAAUAUUAUUUACCCAACAAUUGAAAAGGUUCAAAAUCAACGGCUGAAAAUAAAAAUCUCACAAAAAAAUGAUGAUAUAGCACUAAAAUUUUUUAUCAGAGAUAUUGAUCUUGUUGUAAAUAGUAUAAAGAAUUUUUUAUCAAAAUUUCAUCUGAUUUAAAUACUUCUACACCAUUAAACUUACAAAUGGUAUAUAUCACCAUUAAAAAUUGUUGAUUUUAAAUGCUUUCGAUCGUUGGAUAAAUGAUAUCGAAAAAUCACAAAAUUUAUUUUCUAAAUACUUCAAAUAUACUAUAGUCUAAUGGAGUCGAUCGUCAAUUCGAAAACUCCAUCAUAAAAAAUAGCUUAAGAGAGCGGAGACCUCUUAACUGCUCCUAAUAGCACACAAGACCUAGCCAGCUAAUAAAAUAAAAAUUAUGAAAUUUCAAUCGCAUUAAAUAUAUCAAAAGGAUCUAGCUAUUUGAUUUCUCGAAAAUUUACCAAAGACUUUUUCUAGAAAAAAUAAUUUCGCAAAAAAUUAAAAAAAAUCCGUUCUAUAAUUUUUCUUUUCUAAAUAAAAACUCUGAAAAACAAAAAGAAGACCUCUCCAUCAAAUUUGAAAAAAAAAAAAAUACUAAGAAAAAUUAGUUUCUUUCUGAGAAUCAAACGGGAAAAAAAAAAAUCCAACUAAAAACCAUUUUAUGGGAUUUUUCCCGGAAUCCAAACACCACAGUAUAAACACAACAAUUUAUGAGCUAUAAAAUUCAUACUGAAGUACACAAUUAGCAUGUUCCUGAUAUCCAACAGACCAAACAGUAGACCAAAAAAUUAGGAUUCCAUUUCAAUCUCAAGAUAUGUGAUAACAAACUUAAUCUUCCAGCUAAUACAUAAGAUGGAAAAAGAAGGUGAAGAUCGUCAAUGAUCUUAAAUUGAAUCACCAAUAAACAUUCAUAAUUCUAUAAUGUGCUACAAGAAUUUCUUCCUCAUCUAUUGCUUGAUUUAAAUGCAGCAUAUAUUCCGAAUCUUUGAGCUUGUCCUACUUUACAGAGAUAUUCAGCAGCUUCAUACUUAAUAGGAGGAAUAAAUAAUAAUUUGGAAGGAAAAAAGAUUGCUUUUCUUCCUUCUCUCUUCUUACUAAUCAUUCCCAUUCGACGGUGGCCGGUGGUUUCGACGUGAUAUCCUGGCACACGCGGUUCACGCCGCGCACAUUGUUGCAGAUCUUUCGAACCACGUCGACGAGGAACUUCUGGUCAAAGUAAUACCUAGAAAAAAAUUGAAGAGUGAACAACCGCAGAGAGAUCAAAAUAACCAUGAUGAUAGCAUUCGGAAGUGGCGCGGAGAUAUGGAACAGUGGGCUUAGGACUAGCAGGCAUCGCAGAAAAGAAACAACCCCAGAGGUCAAAUUAGCAAUUUCACGAGUCAUCAGUAGUACGCAUUACCAAGGCUACGAAAUAUGCUAUCAGGAUGAGAUAAAUCACCGCAAACAUUUCAGUAGUUUAGGUAACAGCUCCUGCUGAAUCGACUACCACCCUGUUUCAUCAUCUAACGUUAAAUGAUAAAGCAACGCAAGAGCCAACAUUGAUUAUCAUGCAUAUAUCUCUCACACUGUCAAUGAAAGUUAGAUUACGUUUAUCUAUCUGAACAGUAUUAUGCAGAUCCUAUUGAAGCAUCUUCUUGUUCCUUUUCUAUGCGCGAUCGUCGGGAACCAUUUUGACGUUUAUCAAAAGUAUAAAUACAUAUAAAUAGAUGAAUUAAAGGUAACAAUUAUGUAGUAGAAAAGGCAAAGAAUAGAAAACUGACAUUUCUCAAAAGAACUAUAAUAUUACUCACCAGUCGGCAGUCAUUCCAUCCUCACUAGUAAUCGCUCGAAGAACCACCACAUGAGAAUGAGUUCGUUGGUCGCCCUGAACUCCAACUGACUGCACCGGCAAAAACACAGCAAAGGCUUGCCAUAUUGAAUCAUAAAGGCCAGCAUCUCUAAUUGACUGAAUAAAUAUCUCGUCCACCUGAGGAAAUCAAAUUGAAAAAUUUAAACGUCGAAUUGCUGCAAUAGACGACUUUGUACUUCUGAUGUGUAAUAUCACCUGUCGAAGAAUCUCUAGGGCAUUUCCUUCCGUAACAUCACCCAAAACACGAACAGCAAGGCCAGGUCCAGGGAAUGGAUGUCUCUUCAAAAAUGAGUCGGGUACAUUUAAUAUGCUUCCCAGUGUCCGUACCUUACAAAGAAAUAAAAAUACAGAGUAUAGCAGUUUUUGAAUUUCCAAAGAGCUAACAUGGAAAAAAAAAUUCACAUUAUGUUAGUUCACUCGUGCGAACUUUUUAGACUAAACAUGAUAAAAGUUGUGUGGAAAUAGACGGACAAACCUCAUCUUUAAAAAGGAGUUUAAGGGGCUCGAUAAGCUUCAGCUUCAUAUCUUUUGGAAGGCCUCCUACAUUGUGAUGACUUUUGAUUGUGUGAGAGUGGGUCCUCCCGCUCCCAGGGGGUGGACACGACUCUAUCACAUCUGGAUAUAAAGUUCCUUGAACCAAGAAUGUAGGUCUUUUCCCUAGUUUCUGCUCUAACUCGUGAGCAAAAUCAUCAAAAAUCGCAAUGAAUUCUCUACCAAUUAUCUUUCUUUUCAUCUCCGGGUCUUUGACACCUUUUAGCUUACUGAGGAACUGCUCAGAUGCAUCAAUACAAGUAACGGGCAGAUGUAAGUCUCUCUCAAAGGUUGACAUCACCCGCUCUCUCUCCUUAUACCUAUGAAACAGAAAACACCUUAUUAGAUCAAAUCUGUGAUGAACACUCUUCUAUCGAUAAAGUAGUAAAAACUGAGUUACCUUAACAAACCAUUGUCAACAAAAACACAGUGCAGCCUAUCUCCAAUUGCCUUGUGAAUGAGAGUCGCUGCAACAGUUGAAUCCACUCCGCCAGAUAACGCACAAAUGACAUGCUCGUCGGAUCCUACCAUCCCAUUUAUGACUCUGAUCUCUUCCUCGAGUACGUCUUGCAUCUUCCAGUCAGCAGUUACCCCACAAACAUCAAAAAGAAAAUGCUGCAGUGUUUCCAUUCCUUGUGUCGAAUGAGUAACCUACAACGAUUCGAAGAAACGAACAUCAUAAUGAGGCAUCAAAAGUAUUGCCACACUUAGGCAUCCGAAAAAUAACAUAAUGCUGGCCCAUGGAAAUUCUCCAUAAAUCACCGACUUCCACCAAGAAUUUUGAGACCAAUAAGUUUCACUUGGGGAUAAGUAGCACAAUAUAUCGAUUUCACACACAAAAAUGCUGUCGAAACAUUGAAGGAGCAACCAAAAAGAGAUAUCUUGUCGGACUCGAGAAACUAAACAACAAAAAAGAUAUCUUGAUGGGUUGUUGUAGAUCCAAGAGUGAAAAAAACUUAGAAGUAUGUGGAUAGUGCUACACUUCUACAAGUAUUCUAGCUCAACUCCAGAUAUAUAAGAAGCCAUAAAUUUAUGAACAUUUAAGUAUGUUACAUCAAACUAUACUAGAAGCGAAAAUUCACCCGUAUUCAACAAACACGUGAAAGUGAAACAAACAACCCAACAAGGCAUUAAUACAUCACUUAGCCAAAAAGUGCUUAAUCCAAAAGCUAUUUCUCUUCAUACAAGAAAUCGACAAAGAACAAUCGCUCAUGUUUAUUUUCGCUAAGUUUCAAUUACAAUAGGGCAAAAUUGAUUCUUCCUACUACUGUAUAAAAGAUCUACAAGAAAUCGAUAUAAUUAUCGAAAGAAACGCAAGUAUUUACCCUAAGGAACACAAUUAUCGACAUUUUACCUCUGGAUGGUACUGAAGCCCAUAGAACUUCCUCGAAGGGUCCGCGAUCGCCGCGACGGAGCCCUGGACGCUCCUCGCGACCACAUUGAACCCCUCCGGGAGACGAACCACCUCGUCCCCGUGGCUCAUCCACACCGUCUGAUGCCCCCCGGCCGCAUCGGGGCCGUAGAGCCCCGAGCCGCCCGCAUCCGCGGCGACGGCGAUCUCCAUCUUCCCGUACUCCUGCUUCUCCCCGACGGCGACGACGCCGCCGAGCUUCUGGACGAGGAGCUGCAUCCCGUAGCAGAUGCCGAGGACGGGGACGCCGUUCUCCUCGGCGUAGCGGAGGAAGCCGUCGGGGAAGGAGGGGGCGGCGUCGGUGUGGACGGAGUGGGGGCCGCCGGAGAGGACGACGGCGCGGGGGCGGAGGUCGGAGAUGGAGGAGAGGGGGGAGGUGCCGGAGAUGCAGAGGGAGAGGACGGAGAGCUGGCGGAUGCGGCGGGUGAUGAGGUGGGUGUACUGGGAGCCGUAGUCGAGGACGAGGACGAGGUUCCCGCCGGCGGCGGUGGCGGUUACGGCGCCGCCACCUCCUGCGGCGGCGGCGGAGGGCUUCGCCAUUAACGGGGUUGAGGCGAGGUUUAGGGUUAGGGUUAGGGUUAGGGUUUAGGGUUUGUAACAACCCUGAAUAAAUGGUAGAAAUAGUAGUAAUAGGAGUUAGUAUGGGAGAGUAGUAAAAGUAGCAGUUUUACUAGUUAAGAUGGAGAAUAAGGGCGGCAGCCGGUCGGAGAGGAGGAAGCGCGCCAAGCGGGACGGCGGGAAGGUGCUCGGGUGGAACUCCGAUGAGGACUAGGGCAUCCUGGGUGCUCCGAAGGAGAAGAGGGAGGAUCGAGGUAGAUGGGCGGAGGCUUCUGCAGGAUCUGGAGGGCGGGGGACGAGAGCGGAGGAAGAGGUAACUCGAUAGCGGGUAGCGGGCGGUCGGAUUACCGGAUCGGGCGUAAAACACGGACCCAAGCCCCGCCCGGUUGUGGAUAGUGCGGAGUAGGCGGACCCGCGAACCGCUUACCCGAUUAUCAUGUAGUUUCGGACCAAACAAGCCCACCCGAGGCCCACAAGCAACCAGAUUCAACCCAUCAGGCCUCAAUUCCCAUUUUAUGUCAAAUUGCUGUUAAGCCCUCGUAGGAUAGUUUAAUUUCAAUUCAGUACAAGCUGUAUGGGAUAUAUAUAGCUAAUAGGAUGUAAUUGGAAGGUAUCGAUGAAAUGAAAUAUUGCUUAUCUUCUUCCCCAAUCCUUCUCUAAAUCCUUCUUUGCUUCUAAGCUCCCUAAUUCUCCUCUCUCUUCUCUACUUCUAAUCCCUAUCCUCAUCUCUCUGUAUCUCUCUCUGUCUCUCUCAUUCCCAUCAUCUCCCAAUUCACGCUCCUCAAUCCGAGGUCUCAUCGGAUCGCGAUUGGGAUCAGGUUGGUCACGCCAUCAUCCCGGUUAGCCAUCCAUCUCCAUUGAGGGUUGCUAACAGGUCCGGCACAUUACAGGGUUUUGGGGGGGCAAUCAAAGAGAAGAGUUUAUAGGCGAGCGCUCGUGAUCGCCCAACUGUUUUUGAGAAAUCACGACCGUCCAUCUUUUCUAAACAGGCGAAGGUAGGUUUUUUUUUUUUUUUUUUUUUUUUUUUUUUUUUUGCUUGAACUCGGCAGAGUUGGAUAAGUCGACGCCGACUUCAGCGAUUUUCAAAAAGAGCGCAUGAUUUUUUCUUCAUUUUUUUAAAAAACAAAAUAUACACAUCAACACCAAGAGUUAGGUAUCAAAAUUCAUGUACCAACUCCAACAUAAGCUCAAUUUAAUAUUCAUUUUACAUGUUUAUUUUUUCUUUAGAUGAAAAAGACUCUCAUUUACUAAUAUUUUGGGUCCAAAUCAAUAGCUAUCUGAAUAUGAUGUACCAUCGCAAGCAAAUUUUUCUUUGUUUAAUUAUUUUAUGUGAAAUCCACAUAUGAUUGAUGUAUUGUACAUAGAGAUGGAGAAUUUUUUAGUACUAUAGUUUUGAUUCAUCAGUAAAUAUAAGAGCUUCUGCUUCAGUAUUUAAAGUUGAUAGAACAAGCAAAUAAAUCUACACCCCAAAUAAUGAAAACUAAGUAUAGCGUAAAAAUUUUGUUUUCUACUACGACAGAAGCAGUAGAAAAAAAACGUCGAUUAUAUAAUUUAAGCUUUAAUUUAAUCUCAAGUUAAACUUCGAUGUGUUAUACUAGCUGGAAGAUUUAACAGAUUUUGGUAAUUGUUCUUCUGAAUUAAACCAAAUGAAAAACUAAAUUGACUUUUUCAGAGGACUGUUGUGAGCUGAUGUUUUUGUGACAAUGAGGAAUUAAUUUAAGAAACAUAUGUUAAUUUUUUGGAUUUAAAUCAACUUGUAUUCUUAUUUAAAAACAAAGAUCACCACAAUUUGUAUAAAAAUGUAUUUUGGACACCUUGAGUAAGACAAGUUGAGCACUCCCAUAAGAAUCCACAUGAAACCCUAUGCCUAAAUCAUGAAUUUAUUAAAUUAAAAGCCAUAUGGAUGAGAAGCACUUCUUAUAAGUUAGCUAUUUCAAGCUCUACCAUUGAAUCAUUCAUUUAAAACCUCUCUCUCUCUCUCUAUGUUAUAAAUAGAUAUUAGGAUUGCUACGAUUACCCUAUAACACUGCACUUAUGCAUUACUGAUGUGUUAUCCGCAGAUUGACUUGCACAGCGUGAACCAACACGUCAGCAGAUAUAAGAGAGAUCGAUAAGAGUUACUACCUAUAACAUCUCUCUGCAAAUAUAUAUAUGUAGAUGCAAUACCAUGUGUAUUAUCAAACCAAUCUCUAUCUCUUUCUCUCCUUGAGAAGAUGCAAGAACUUCAAAAGAACACUCUCAAACUCCCCACCCUAGACCACUCACAACCCCUCCACCCUUCAACCCUCAACUCCCUCUCCAAAGCAUGCAAAGAGUGGGGCUACUUCCACAUCUCCAACCAUGGCAUCUCAACUGACCUCUACCGGCAACUCCGUGCCAUCUCUCUCGACGUCUUCAACCUCCCUUUAGGCACCAAACUCAAAGCAAGCCCUCGCACAUCCGUCAACACUUACACUCCACACUUCAUAGCGUCCCCUUUCUUCGAGACCCUCCGUGUCUCUGGCCCUGACUACUUUUCGUCGGCAAAGAGCUCGAGUGACGCCCUCUUUGAAACACCGAACGAGGAAUUAUGGUACAUCUACUCUUUUUCCAUAUGUUUCUAAGUUUGUAACUAACCCUUCUUUUCAUGUAUGAAUAGCGAAUUAAGUUCUUCAAGAAUAUGGAAGCAAGAUGAUGGACCUAUGCAAGAAGAUAGUUUACAUCCUUCUAAAGUGUUUAGGAGAUGGCCUCGAGACUAAAUACUACGAAUCGGAGUUCGGUCAGUGCCACGGAUAUCUUCGGAUCAAUCACUACACACCACCAAAUGAUAUCGAUGGAGUAGAAGGUGUCGAAGGGCUUGGAAUGCACACUGACAUGAGCUGCAUAACAAUUUUGUACCAAGAUGAGACUGGUGGGCUUCAAGCAAGAACUCAAGAAGGGGGUUGGGUGGAGAUCGAGGGAAGCGAGGGGGCUCUCAUCGUGAACGUCGGAGAUUUGAUGCAGGCGUGGACCAACGGUCGUAUGCGAUCGUCCGCGCAUAGGGCGGUCUUAAGGAAACCGACCACCUGCUUAUCUUUCGCCUUUUUUUGGUGCUUUGAAGAUGAGAAGUUAGUACUUGCACCUGAUGAAGUCAUCGGAGAGGAGGAACGGAGAAUUUACCGGCCUUUUCUCUGCAAGGAUUACAUGAAAUUCAGGCAUAAUAUUGAGAAAGGGAGGUUUGAGAAAGUUAGCUACACUAUCGAUGGGUUCGCGGAGGGUGAUGCUUUAGAUUCUAAUGAAAAGAUUGAGAAAUAAUGGGAAAUUAUUUGCUAUUUAUGCUGCAUUUGUGUAAGUCUGGUGGCAUGGAUUAGUAAUUAUCAUGUGUAUUAGUGAAAUUGAAUGAGAUAACUUAGAAGAGAAAAAGUUAUAAGAAAUUUGAUCACGCAUUCGACGAAAUUUCAUCAUGAAUUUGAUUUCUGGUAAAAUCAAAUUUUGUACAUACACAUAAUUCAUAGAUGGGUUGGUCCAAAAAUAAUCCUUAUAAGUGGCAAAAGGCAUGGUAGUCAGUACCCGAGGUUUCAAGUUCGAAUCCUAGUUGAUUCACAUUUUCAGCUAAAUUUAUUUCUAAAUAAAAUAAACGAAACGGAUAGCAUGCUACCAAUCUCUCUCAAAAAAAAAAAAGAAAGCACUACAUGGCAUUUCUUAUGUCAUGCACCUGCAGAGUUUGAAAACUACUAGACAGAUAAUAAGGCUUGUUAAAUUCAAGCUUAGGAAAAAAGCGACUGCAGGCUUAUAGAGAAUCUUAGGAAGAACUACUUUAAUCCGAAUGUUAUUAAUGCUCUUAAAAUAGUUUUACUCAAACUAAUCAGACCCUCGAACAAUAUUAACUUCCUAUUUCAGUCAUGGUAAUGUAAAACACUUAUCAAUGAUUCAACCAUCGAUAAUGUAUCGAGAUUAAAAAAAAAAAAAAAUUGAUUUGCAGAAGCGUCGCUCAGUUAGAGUUAUAUAAAAAAGCACUGAAUCAAACGUUUGACUUCUGCUUCUCAAGCAGAUAAAUUGUUCCAGUCCAAACAUGCACUGCAUCAGACGAAAAUUAGAUGGUCUUGCAGUGGUAGAACAUGGUGUUAAAAUUGUUCUAAUAUACAAAAAUUUAAGUUACACUAUGCUCAAACUUUAAUUCUUUAGAUUUUUUUGUUCGAACUUUAUAAAUAGUUGGAAUUAAGUUUUAGCUAAAUAUAUUAAAGAAUCCCUAACAUGAAAAUAAGGUUACAUCUUACUUUUUAUGGCAUCAUCUAUCACAACACUACUACAUCACUUGCAAAUUAACUACACAUUAGUAUUCAGCCAACUAAAUUAGAUUGUGGAACUAUAUUGCGACAAUUUAAAAAGUUCGAACAAAAAAUUACAACGAAUUAAAAUUUUGGUCCUCAUAGUUUGAGGACCAAAAGUGUAAUUUAUCCUCUACAAAAUGUAAAGCUGCUGCAGUAGAGGUUUGAGGGGUAAAAAUUUAAAUAAAAAAAUUGAUGCAUUUUACAUUUCGUCUGUUCUCUGAAACUAAUGACACUAGUGAAGGCCCGCGCUUCGCUGCAGAAGAUUUGCGCAUUUUUUAAAAUAUUUUGAACAAACUAAUAUAUUUCUGUAUUUACGUUGUUAUCAUUUAUUUUUAAAAUUUUAAAUUUAAAUUUUUAAUUUUCAAAUCUAAUUUUAAAUUUUAAAUUCUAAAAAAUUAAAGAGCUGAAAAAAAAUAAAACAAAUUAUUUAAAUAGAGAGGAAUAAAAAAUAAUUUGAAAAUUGAAGCGAGCAGAGAGAGGGAAAAAAGCAAAAAGAGCAUUGUCCGCCGCGCCCCGCGCUCCAGCUUGUCCGCGCCACACCGCGGGCCGUCCCACGCUCCUGUGUUUUUUUAUUCCAUUAAUUAAGAGAAAACAAUUAAAAAAAGAGACAAAAAAAAACAAAAAAAUUUAGAAAAAAGGUUAAUUUUACAUUAAAAAAAAAUAGUAAUUUUGCUCUUAUUUUGAACUUUUGUAAAAUAUUAUUAUUCAAGACCAAUCAAAUUUAAAGGGGACUAUUAUUGUCUGAUCUUAUAAUUUUUUAUCCAAAAAUUAAAAAGUUGAAAAUACCGACUGCCUUAUGCUUUCGAUAGCAAAACAACUCUACACAGAAGUAUAUAAAUAGUAUUUCAUAGUUUCUACCGUAUUUAUUAGCAUUCAUAAUAAUUAGCAGUUUAACAUAUAUAAAAAUUUUUGCUAAUAUUUCAUCAAAUGCAGAGAGAAUGAGAGAGAUGUAUAUAACCCGCACAAUUUGAAAUCGCAAUCAAAACUCUAAAAACAAUGACAAAAAAAAAAUAUUUUGCCAAUUUGUUUAAUUUCCUAACAAAAAACCCCAUUUAUUAUUGCGUUAAAACUCAGGAGGUUUGAGACUUAAGUUACUGUUGUUUGAAAAAAAAAAAGAAAAAAAAAAAGAGAAAAAAGAUGAGAGUGAGAGGUGCUUCACCGACCUCUUGCAUGAACUGAUAAGAGAUGCCCGAGCUGCAGCAUCCUUUGUGGAAAUCUCAUAUGCCGCCUCCUCUCCUCCUCUCCCUUCCUCCAAUCCAUUCUCAACUUUGUUUCCACUCUCUCUCUCUCUCUCUCUCUCUCUCGUCUCUCUUGUUUACCAAAGAGAGAGAGACCAAAAAGAAGAUCUAGCAAAGAGAGCUGCUCCAAGAGUAUAAUAUAUAUAUAUAAUAUAUAUAUAUAUAUAUAUAUAUAUAUAUAUAUAUAUAUAUAUAUAUAUAUAUAUAUAUAUAUAUAUAUAGGCGACCGGCGUCGCACCCUCGCGCGCCCCGCGCCGGAGCCCGCGCCUCCGCCUCCCACUGCCGCUCGCCUGCGCCUCCGCCUCCCGCCGCCGACCGCUCGCGCCGCCCGCUCGCGCUGGGGAAAGGGGGAGAGAGGUGUCCGCGUCCCGCGCCGCCGCCCCUCCGCUCGUGCCCGCCCGCUCCGUCGCCCACCCUCGCCCACGCCGCGCCCCGCGCCGGACCACCCACACUGGGUGAACCUGCGCGCGAGCGCCCGCGCCUACUCGCGGCCCCGACCUCUCGCGACCGGCGCCCGCGUCCGCGGCGGCUCGCCUAGCUCCGCUUCGGCCCGCGCACCCGCCCGCGCCCGCCGCGUGCCCGCGCCGGCCCCCAAGGCCCGCGCCUCGGCCCCUCGGCUCGCGCUCACUCGCUCGGGCUCCCGCUCGCGCCAGCGCCCGCCCUCGCUCAAGCCCCGCGCCCGCGACCGCGAGGAGAGGGGUGAGAGGGGAUCUAGAGAGUGGGGAAGAGAGAGAGAUCGAGUGGAGAGGAAAAGAGGAGGGGCGGGUGUGGAGAGAGAGAAAGUGUAGGAGAGAGAGGAAGAGAGAGAGAGAGAAAGGGGGAGAGAGAGAGAGAUAGAGAGAGGGGUUAGAGAGAGAGAGGGUGUGAAGAGAGAGAGGGGGCACAGAGAGAGAGAACGUGAAGAGAGAGGGGANGGGAGAGAGAGAGAGAUAGAGAGAGGGGUUAGAGAGAGAGAGGGUGUGAAGAGAGAGAGGGGGCACAGAGAGAGAGAACGUGAAGAGAGAGGGGAAAAAAAAAAAAAAAAAAAAAAAAAACCUAUCUAGUAAUAAAUCCCCUUCUAAGAUAUAUUAAUGUGGGGUAUUUACUAAUAAGAUCCCCAAAAACAAAAAAAAAAAAAACUAUAAUACCUGCUGAGUAAUUUACAUUAUUAUAUCAGGAUCCCCUCGGAGGGAUCGAUUGCCGGAGCACCAUUUGCCCCGACUCGUCCUUCUCGAACACCCGAUCGAUCAGCUCGUCCCAGGUCAUCCUUUGCCGGCUCUCCCGCGGCGAGCAGGGAGAAGCGGACUCGCCGUCCCCGCGGACGGAGCUCUCGUCGAACGUGCCGUACGUCGACGGGGACCGCGCGUCGGGCACGUCCAGCGAGACGGCCCGCCGUAGCGCCGCCCUGUGCUCCUCGACGUGCUCCCUUUGCAGCGUCUCCUCCCGCUCCAUCCGUUGUUCCGACGGCACUUCUUUUAUUCGUUCCUUUUCUAGCAUCAACUACAUACAGAAAAUACUGAGAAACUUCGACCCUGAACUUUACCCUUUGUCCCAAUUACCUACCUUGCUCUAUAAUUUUAACUGCGGCAAAGUUUACUGGUGUUGGCAUUGUUUACCUUUUUUUGGUUCUUUUUUUAUUAUUAUUGUUUCAAAUUCUAUGCGCUUAAAGAGUGGAUUAUUUGCGAGCUCUGUAGUUCCCAGAUCUUGUUUUGUUUCGACAAAGCAUGAAUUUGUUGCGAAUCAACCAAAAACAAAAAAGUACAAGUGCUGCUACUCCCUAGAAUCCUUUGUGUCAAGUUCUGCUUCCCGGGGGUCACCCAUCGCCUGCGGCUCGAUUAACUAUUUACUCUAAACCUAAUAACUUGUUGGGCUCAACCCACUAGCCCAAAAUGUUAUUGCCCAGUUACUGUAUACACCCCCACAUCUAAUCAUUAGCUAUUCGAUGUGAAACUAUUCUCAAGCCUUGGGAUGUCGGAUACCAAACUAUCAAGACCUGCUCCCCGGGGGGCCACCUAUCACUUAGCCCACGGCUCAAUUAACUACGUACUCUAGACCUAAAAACUUGUUUGGUCCAAUCCACUAGCCCAAUCUGCUAUAGUCCAAUUAUUGUGUCUAGCCUAUUCAAGCUUAUAUACCCUCACAUCUAGCUAAAACUACUCGAUGUAGGACUAUUCUCAAGCCUUGGGAUGUCACAGUUUACCAUACAAAACUUGAAGGGUGGGGGGGAGGGAAUUAAGGCCAAAUGAGCAAAAAUUAUAAAAACAUUAAGACCAAAUGAGCAAAUAAAAUUCAACUUUUUGCCGCAAGAAGAUAAAGAAUGCUUACAUCCAAUGCUUUCUGGGCUUCCCUGUGAAUCCAGAUGAUGGCAUGGUCGGUCGUGGCAUUGCAGGAAAGAACAAUGUGCUCAAACCUGCCGUCAACCGGCACAGCUGUUUUAACAACUGGGGGGUAUCUUCCACACCUGUAGCAAAUCGCGAGUGCCAAAAGAAGUUAACAUCAAAUAUGCCGAAAGCUAAUGCUUAAAGAUACAGCUAAAGUGCUCAAUUUGCAGCUGUGCUUUUAAAUGAUAUAGUAUUUGUGUAUAUGCCCUUCCAUUUAAGCAUUCUCAGGUCAUGGAUAAUUGAGCUGAUGUGCAUAUAUGUAAAUGGAUUAUUUUGGGAGAUACGGGCGAAAAUUUUAACUCUAGCAGGGAAUACAUACAAAUAUGUAGAUGUUGAGCCAUAUCUGAAAAGCUUUGAAUAAUUUGCUGUAAUGUAAAAAAUGACAUCUUCUAGAGAACUGAAGAGAGAAAAAAGAUUAAGGAUCAUUAAUCACUCUCAAAUCACUGCAGUAUUCACUGAUUCCCGGCUCGUAUAUUCAGCAAAAAUCAGAAUAAUUUUUGUUCAAUAAAAAUAUAGAUUAUGGUAAAUAAACAGCAUUUUCCUUCAUGCCAAAUAAUAGACGUGAAUUACAACAAUCAUGUGAAUUAAAAUGCACGAGUAAGUGACAUAUAAAUGGGUGUACACACUGCAAUUUAGGAAAGUGUUAGAACAAUCAUUAGACCUUAAUUCAUCGAGAAACCAUGAGCUAUACCAGAGUACAAAGAAAGGACAAGAGGUCAAAUUCCGAAAGGGCAAUGCAACUGAAUCGGUUAAUUGCAAUACCUGAACGGUUUUCUCUCCACGAUAUGAUAGAUCCGACCCGGUGCGUAAAGCCUCCUUGGAUCUCUCAACAUGACAUGUUCUGGUAUGCAUGUGUCUGUCAUGCAUCUUAGACAUAGCAGGCAUGGCAAACUGUAGAGAAUUGUUGAGUCAAGUUAGGUGAGUACAUUUUUGUACAACAAUAGGUCGGACAUGAGUUAGUUCGAAAAAUCAUAUUAAGGUGUUCAAUGGACUCUGCAUAAAACUUAUACUGAAAACAAAAACAACGAAUAGAGAAAUGCCACUACUUCACCAGAGGAUUGACUUGAAAACAUCUUCCAAAGGAGUAGCUGUCCGAGGCAAAAAAUCAUCCUGUCAAAAAAAGAAAACAAAAUCCAUUCUUAUCAAGUCAGUAAAGAGACACACAUUCUCGACUGCGACACUACAUACAACAAAAUAUUCCAUUAUUACAUAAAAAAGCGCGAAAGUAAUUAUUUAUGUAGCUGAUAUAAGAACAACGGCGGAGAACAUUUAUUGAAGUAUACCAAAACUAGAUGACUAGGUUCCAUUUGCCAUGUAAGACGCAAAUAAAACAUUUGGAAUUUUUUGUCGACAAAUUCCGUGAUAUAUUCAUCAAAAUGUUGUUCCAAAGAAACCAUCUUCGAUACGGAAUUCUCAAAUUCGGAUUUUCUUACAACAUAUUGUUAAUUCUCUCGUUGCUCGGUCAAAUAAUGGAUACGAUGAGCUCCAACAUUCUACAUUUUGCCCAUACCCUGCUCCUACAAAUAUAUAAUUUGCAAGUGUCUGGCUGCUAUACUACUAUUAGUAUGAUCGUCUACGUUCUCAUAAGUCAUUUUUAAUGAUGGCUUUUAUCGUUAAACAUAACUUAGAGCAUUUAAACAUUCUAGAAAUCGAAUUUCAUGAAUUUUUUUUAUAUCAUAUACCUUGUAUCAAGAGAUAUCAAAAUUGACAAUUUAAACGAACGGUACGUGGCGUUUCCUAGUUUAGCUACUAGUAUAGAAGAAUCGGAAUUCAUUAAAACUUUGCUAGAAAAUUCUAUUCACUAUCUAGAUGAAGAUCAAUAACUCCGAUCUUGAAUUGAGCUACUCGAUCUUCUAUUUUUAGAAGGUCGUUCAUUUCAUACCACCCACAACCCACAACUUCUCGAAUGCUCUAGAUUAUAUUUAACUGCGUCGAGAAUGACCGCGCACUACCCUGGUUUAGUUUGCAGUUCAAAAAGGUAAAUAAAAAGCAUGCAAAAGGUCAUACUUGGAGGACGACGGAGUUGAUAAUGUCGGCGUAGCGAACGGCGAGGUUCAGCGACAUACACCUGGCGGGCGCCAUGGCGUAGCACCUGACGCGCCUCCUGUCGACGUUCCCCAGCUUGUCCUUGUUCUGCACGACGACCAUGGCGAGCAGCGCGGCGACGCCGGCGCCGAGGGAGUGGCCGGCGAAGGUGAGGGUGUAGUCGGGGUGGGUCCGGAGGAGGUCGCUGAGGACGUCGCACUCGGCGUCGAGGACCCAGGCGGCGGCGCGGAGGAGGCCGUUGUGGACGUAGCCGCCGUCGAGCUUGCGCUUGCCGAGGCGGUUGUCGAGGAGGAGGGCGUAGUCGCUCUCGACGGCGAGGUUGAGGCCGCGGAUGGCGAGGACGAUGUCGGCGUGGGGGUGGUCGAGGUAGAUGAGGUAGGGGGAGACGCGGCCGCGGGUCUGGGCGUGGUCGCGGCGGCGGACGACGAGGGCGGGGUCGAGGCCGUAGCCGCCGGGCGGGGGGAAGCGGGGGCGGGCGAGGUCGUCCUCGUAGUUGGCGAGGAUGAGGCGGCACACGCGCGGGACGGGGGCGAACUCCGCGGCGGAGGCGAGGCCCCACGUCGCGCUGUCGUCGCAGCCGCUGUGGAGGAAGCGCUUCCACGCCCACCGCGCGCAGGCGAGGCAGUACACGCACUCCAGCAGCGGCAGCCCCAGCGCCAGGGACAUGGGAGGACGACGACGACGACGACGACGACGACGAAGAAGAUGAUGAUCGGAAUGGGGGAAGCUAGGGUUUUGAAUCCAUUGACGCCCCUCUUUGGGGAAGAAGAAGAAGAAGAGGAAAAGGGGAUUAGGGUUAGGGAUUGGGAAUGAUUAAAAAAAAAAAAAAUGGUGAAUUAAUGGAGUGUUGGAGUGGAGAGAUGCUGUGAGAGAGUAGGAGGAAGGGGACCAAAUUUAGAUGCUUGUUUCAAUAUUCCCUGAAGAAGAGGAAGAAAAGGCAAAAAAGAAAAAAACACUUUAUGGUCCUCAAACUAUGGGAGUGUUUGAUAAUCUUGUACUUAAACUUUAAAUUUAUUAUUGUUGGUAACCGAAAUCUACAAUUUCUGACCCGGUCAAAAAUCCUCCUCGAAGAGCACUCUGUGGAUAGUGACCCUCGAAAUAUGCGCCCUUCGAUUGGUCAAGCGAUUCGGCUGACGAGGGAUCGGGUCAACCGGAUUCGAAACCUCUACAGCAAAUUUGGUUCGGCUGGAUGAACCGAAUGAAUAAGAGAAGUAAGAAUUUCAGCCAAGAAAUAAGCCGAAUGGCUAAUACAGCACAAGAGCUGGUCAGCCUGAAGAGCCGAACACUGCCUUCUAUUGAAAGAGAACGGAAAAAGUAUAGAAAAAAGGGUUUUAGUUUACAACAGAGUGAUGCCCAAAGGGCAGACAGACUCCAGGAUGCUAAAUUACAGGAACUACUCUAAGUAGUAAACGCGAGAAAGAAAGGUGCAGGAAAAUAAAGAUGGUCUUUUGUGUGCAGGGGCGAAGACCCCUUUUUGGAGUAUUAUUACACUAUUUAUAGAUAGCCCCAUCGGUCAGUUAUUGUUCUUACACGAUCGGCCACUAUCUCCUCAUAUUCCGGACCACUUCUAGCCGAUCGGAACCGCAUGUAACUGCUUGCGAUUACCGUAACUUCCUUUAAUUGGCGCGAUACACUUUUCCGAUGCUCCCGAUACACGACCGAAUAGAUGCUUUUGAAGGAAAUAUUCGCACCUAAAUCUCAUCCGCGUCUAAUUGGCUCAACAAUUAUUAUAAUAAUUUUUAAUGUAGAUAUUUUUUUGUUAUUACAAUCGAAUUCUAUAAUCUAAUUUAAUUAGUUAAAUAUUAAUAAAUUAUUAAUAUAAAAGUGAUGUUAAAAAAAUUUUGUGAUCAAUGAUGUGACAAUAAUAAAAGUGCUUGUGUGUUUUUAAAAACAAAUUAGCUUUCAUGCUAUCAAAUUAUUUUCAAUACUGAGAAUUUCGAGUUGGCGAUUGACUCUAUUAAAUUUAAUCUAAAAUAUUAAAGUAGGUGAAAAAUAAAUUUUAUAAUUUUUCGAUAUUAUUUAUUUAGUGGUAAAAAGGCUCAAAUCAAUAAUUUUAAUGGUUGUGAUGAGUUAUUUGCAAGUUUAAGAUAUAAAAAUAUUCAAAUCACGUAAAAUUUUGGUAAAAUAAUUUAGUAUUAAUAUUUUUGAUCUAAAAUUUUAGUAUCGUAUCAUCAAUUUUUGUAAAAAAAAUUUUAAGCCGUCGAUUUUGAACUCUUUUGAUUACUAAAAAAUUACGAAAUUUUCUUUAGUAAUACUUUAAAUACUCAUGUCUAAAACGUCGGCACUCGAUAUGAAAGUUCCUGUAUUAAAAAUAAUUUAAUAGCAUAAAGACUAUCGUACUUCUAAAAGCACAAAAACCAACUCCACAUGGAGAGAGAUAGAGAGAGGGAGAGAGAGAGAGAGUUCUAUUUGGGUGCAAAAACCAACUCCACAUGGAGAGAGAUAGAGAGAGGGAGAGAGAGAGAGAGUUCUAUUUGGGUGCAAAAACCAACUCCACAUGGAGAGAGAUAGAGAGAGGGAGAGAGAGAGAGAGUUCUAUUUGGGUGCUUCUAAUAGCAUCAAGCUGUACUGGGGUGCUUAUAAUAACAUUAAGCACUUGAUGCUAUUAAGUUUUUUAACCGUUAGAUUAUUGAUUUGAUCAUUUUUAAUUCAUUAGAUCACAUAUUAUUCAAACCAAUCAUCCGUUUAAUUCUAGAGGAUCACUAUCAUCCUAACCGCAAAUUGCUUCAUCCAAGAUCGAAAAUUUAAUAAUAUUAAUGAAUUGAUAUUAUUAGAAAUAUUUCAAUAUAUAUAUAUAUAUAUAGAGUCCGGCUACUAUACUAUUGAUAGUACCAAGCUCUUGGUACUAUUGAGUUUUCUACCAUUAGAUCUACCCUUUGAUCAUUUACACCCGUUAGAUUAUACUAUUAAACCAACCAUCCACUCAACUCUAGGGGAUCACUAUCAAUUUAACCAGGAACCACUAUUAUCCUAACCGCACAUCCUUUCAUCCAACGGCCAAAAUCUCAAUAGUACCAAUGGCUUGGUACUAUUGAUAGUAUAGUAGCAUAAUUCAUAUAUAGUUGAGCUAAAAUACUAUCGGUAGUAAACGAGCCGUUUUACUAACGAUUUAUUUUCGAUGAUAGAGCUUCCAAAUUAACAAUUGGCUCCAUUAUAUAUGAUCUAAACCAUUUAAACUACCUAGAAAUUAAAUUUCACGCACUUUCGAUAUUGUUUUUUUACCCAUCAAGUGAACAGAAAAAUGAAUGGCUGAAAAUGAAUACUCUUUAAAAAAUGAUAAUAGGAGUCUUGUAAUCAAGAUCAAGAGUAUAGAUCUUGUUUUAAAUAGUUUAAAAAAUUUUCUAACAAAAAUUUAAUUGAUUUGAAUAUCUUUACGCCGUUAAACGAGAAAACGCCUCUUAUCGACCAUUAAAAUUAUAAAUUUUGAAACCCUUUGAUCAUUAGGCAAAUGAUGUCGAAAAGAUUUGAAAUUUGAUUUCUAAACACUUCAAGUGGUAUAGAUUAUGUUCAACGGAGCCGAUCGUCAAUUUGAAAGUUCUAUCAUCGAAAACAAAUCGAUAGUAAAAUUGCUCGUUUACUACCGAUAGUAUUCUAGCUCAACUCUCUCUAUAUAUAUAUAUAUAUAUAUAUAUAUAUAUAUUUGUACUCUCACUGUGAGAAAAAGGAAAUCCAAUAACUUUCUAGAAUAUUCUGGGUAUAUUUGCAAAAGUCCCAAGAUUAUUCUGGUCCUUUUUGACGUUUGUGCCACGUGGGCCAUUGUGGGCCCAAGUUUCAUAGGCAUGGGAAGAGGAUAAAAGGUUUACGUGAACCUGGUCUAUAGACCGGACCUAUUCGAGAAAAAGCUAUUCAGGUUGCUGCCUUGCGAAUAGCGGGUCUACAGGUGACAUGGUAGACACUUUUGUCUACAGACAAAUGAUUUGCAUGAACCGACCAAGUGUGGGCCCCACUAUUUCUCUCCGGAUUCUUCGUUUCAAUAAUUGAAAAACACAAAAAAAUAAAUAAAUAAAAAUAAAAUUUUAAAUAAAAAAAGUAAAUCAUCUCAUCUGUCAUCUCGCUGAAGGCUUGAUCUACAAUCAUUUUACUCAAAAAUUAUAAUUUUUUUAAGGCCAGUUUGCAAAAGAAAUUCAUAAAUUUUGAACUUUUUAAAAUUAGGCCGUCUUUUUUGAUUUUAUAGGUUCGGUCCAAAUUUUCAGCAAACUGACCAAAAUCUACUCUUUCUCUUUCCUCUUCUUUUCUCUCGUUCAUUUUUUUUUCUCUCGCCGAAAAAAGCAGCUGAGGCAGAGGCGUAGGCGGAAACGACCCGCCUCACUUCUCACCGUCAUGCUCUUGCCCUCGCCCUUUCCCUCAUCCGCGCACCCCCCACAUUCCUCACCUCCGACCACGCCGAGACCGCACCGUGACUUUUUUUUUUUUUCCUCUCCGACUCUUCUCCACCGUCUCCGACGACGAUGCCUCUCUCGCCCUUCCCCGCCCUUCUCGUCCUCUCCCUCUCCCUCCUCCUCUGCCGUCUCCGACAACAACGCAUCUUCGCCGACGCCGAUACCGUGGAGGUCACUGCGGCGCUGCAGCCUCGAAGCCGAGGAUCUUUAGCGAUGUCGUCGCCAUUGGCAGAGAGGGGUGACAAAAAAAAAUUAUAGAAAAAGUAAGAAAAAAAAUAAAGAUAAAAUAUUAUAGAAAAAAAAGAUGAAAAUGAAGUUGCACCGUUAAAAUAAAAUUGCAUUGUUUUAAAAGAACGUUGCACUAUUAUGAACAUAAGUUGCACUACUUAAGAUAUAAACUGCAGCUUUAAGAUAAAAAUUACACUCUUUAAACAAAAAUUACAUUCUUUGUGAGAUAUUUACACUGUUUUUUCUCUUAUUGCACUCUUUCAGAUGUAAACUGUAAUCAUUAAAAUGAAAGUUACACUCUUUAAACGAAAUUUGCACUAUUUGAGAGAUAUUUACACCAUUUUUUCUCUUCUUGCAUCAUUUGAGAUGUAAACUGCACCUCUUUGAGAGAUAUUUAUACUAUUUCUCUUCUUGUUGCACUAUUUUUUCUCUUGUUCCACUAUUUCUUCCCUUGUUACACUAUUUUUUCUCUUAAACUGCACCAUUUAUACUAUUUUUUUUCUUGUUUCGUUGAUAAUUAAGCCUUAAAUUUUUAUUCGAAGUAUCUUUCAACAGGUACGAAGAUAAUUUCUCCAAGAAUGUUAAUAUAGAAAAGGUCGAGUUUCGUCUGUACGGCGGAACUGAACUUCACACGUGACCAGAGUGAAAGUCACGAAUUUGUGCCAUACGCGAACUCACCGUAAAUUAUCAAACGAAAGAGUAUAUAUAAAAAAACGUAGAAAUUUUAGACGAGUAAAUUUUAUCACUUCAAACUUUUAAGAAUAAAUAUAAAAGUUAGAUAUUUUUAAGGGAUACAUGAGCAAUUAUUUCUCUUCCAAAUUAUUUGGUAUAAAUUUCGUAUUUAAAAAAUAUAAAAUUUUAUUUUCCUUAAAAUUUUGCUUGAUUCAACGGCCUUAUUAAGAUACGGUCUCUAAACGGGCCAAAAGUCGGCCCGCUAAAGCCCAUUUUAAGGGAGAAACCAUAGCCUGGACCGGAUGUACCACGUCAUCUUUGAACCGCUUGCUUUAUUUAUUUAUUUAUUUUUUCGCCUCUAGGGUUUUACGACCCAUUCAUUCACUCCUAUGUAUAUAUAUAUAAACGGAGACGCCUCCUCCCUCGCGGAGUCGCAAUCGCUUCCUCAAAAAGCUAGGGUUUUUGCAUCAGGACGAAGCCGAUCUAAGGUACUGAGCACUGCAACAGCUUCUUCUCCCAGGGCUUUUCCUCAAAUCGGCUUCUCCAAAUCCCCCUCCUUUUUUAAAAAAAGUUUUUUUUAAAAUUUUUCUUUGUGGUGCGAUUCUCUUUGGAAUGAAUGGAAUUAGGGUUUUUCCUUUUCUUUUUCCUUUUUUUUUUUUGGUUUUGGUUUAACAAUUCAUCGUUUGCGAUGAUGAAUCCUUAAUGGAGGAAUCUGAAAUUUUGGGGGGAUUUAUUCCACCCAAAAAAAAAUGAUUACUUUUCCAAAACUGCAAAGGAUUUCUGAGCAAAUGCCAUUUUUUUUGUAAAAAAAUAAAUGAAGCGGGAGUACUUUUUUUUUUCUUUGAUCUGUUUGAUUCAUCAAAAAUUUGAAUGGUGCGAUAAAUAAGGAUCAAAAAUAGAAUUAAAAUUAACUCAUUCCAAAUCUAUCCCGAUCCGAAAUUUUGAAAAAAUUGGUAUUAAUUUUGAAAAAAUUAGCAUUAAAAUCCGCCAGAAGCUAUCAAAUUAUAAUGGUGAUCAUCAUCUUUAUAAGUAGGUAAAGGUCGGAGAUGGCGUGAUCUAUUUUAUUAAAAUUACAUUAAUUUGGAUGGUUAACACCUAAUGGCGCAAUUAACCUAAACAAUUUUAUUCUCUAUGCAAUUAAAUUUUUGGUAAAAUUAUAUAAAAUUUAUCUGAGUAUGGACAAUUUUGAUUGGAUAUUUAAUUUUUCAAAAUUUUGAUUUUGUUAUCUAAUUUAUUAAUUUAUUUGAUUUAGUUAGUGUAAUUUAGGAAUAAUUGCGUGUAUGCUCUUCAAAAUCUCAAAAAUAUUUAAUUUAAUUUAUUUUUUGUUUCUAAUAUAUUUCACAUAUAUUUUUUUAUUCAAAAAUAUUUUUGCAGUUAUCACCUAUUAAUUUAUUUCGAGUUAACGUGAGUUAAAUAUUUACUAGAAUUAAAAAAUAUUUUUUUAUCUUUAAUUUAAGGACAAAUAAAAAAAAGUUAAUAAUGAUAGAAUAGUAUGAUUUCGUUUGGGAUUGCGAAGAGAUUGUGUUACGUGUGGUAUAAGAAAAUACUCUAUUUUUUUCCAUACGUAAUAUUGCGUUCCGCACAUCGUAAUUAAACUUUGUUUGGGAUUGCUGAGAGAUUGCAUUACAUGUGCUGAGAAAGUACGAUGAGAAAAUAUCAUGUUUUUUUUCAUACGUAAUAUUGCAUUCCGCCGCGAUGAGUCACCGCGAUGAGUCAGCUACAAUAUAUUUUCUACGGUCUCACCGGAAUGCAUAAGCAUAUUUCUAUAUGCCUUUACCCUAAUUCUAUUUUAUCUAAUAACAUCAAAUGGACUAAGCCUUAGUCGGUUAUGAUAUAUCUUUUACGGUAUCCCAACUCCAUUUUUUCUAAUAGUAUAAGAUGGACCUUAAUAUAUUUUUUGCGGUUCCACAAAAAAUAUAUAUUUUUAUAUAUUUUUAUCCUAACUCUAUUUAUCUAAUAGCAAUAGAUAGAUCUCAAUACUAAAUUAAACCUAACAAUUUAGAAAUAGAAUUUAACUCUAUUUUACGUAAAUAACGAUUACAACUAGUGGUUCGGUAACAAAAUUUAACUCUAGGAAUAUUUUUGAAAUAAUAUAGGGCAUAUUUGAAAUAAUUUGAAAUUUUAAAAAAGUAUUUUUAAUAUUAGCUUUCUAAGAUUUGAAAUAACUUGAAAUUUAAAAAAACAUUUUUAAUAUUAGUCUUCUGAUGUAAACUUAAAAGUUGGAAAUUUUUCAAAAUUGCCUCUAUAAUUUAUUUAGUUUUUAUAAUUAAAAAUUAUAAAAAUAAUUAAUUAAUUUAAAUUUAAAUUUAAAAAUAUUAUUUACCGACUUAAAUUAAAUGUAUUAAAAGAGUGAAUAAUAAAAUUAAAAUUACAGAGAUUGGAUAUCGAAUUUAAAUAACUUUUCUAAGGAAGACCAAGCGCGGCCGAUUCGAACCAAACCGGUUUAACAGCCCGUUCGCAAAGACCGGCUCCCCCGGUUUAACUUAAACUGGAAAAAGGCGAAGUUCGAGAGCAUCAUUCGAUCAAACCAAAGGGAAUCGAAAAGGGGGGCGAAAUUACCUCACCCUAAUCCCAGUUAAUCUCCUCAAUCCCUUCUACUUCUCUCUUCUUCUUUUUUUUACCUCUUUUUUUUAUCUUUGUAGAUUUCAUGACACAAUCUCAAUUACCUUUACUUUUUGUCUUUGUUUCUGUUUUUUUUUCCCUUAAUUAUCACAACUGGUACUCCAAAUUUUCUAAUUUGAAGCGAUUUUUCUCUUCAAAUUUGGAUUUUUUUUUCCUGUGUGUUGACAUGUUCUAUGUUGUUUAAAUCUUGUGUCGUGUGUGAUUAGGUUUCAAGUAUUUGCGAUAAAGAUCGCGUAGAUCUACACAUCUAGUUUUGGGGCGAUUUGAUUUGGGUUUCUGUAACUGUUAUUUCAUGCAGCAUAAGAAUUAAGGUUUGGAUUUAAAGUUGUUGUUUAGGCUAAUUUUUUGCAUAAUUAUCUGCAAUAGGGCAUUAAAUUUGUCCUUGGUUUGAUCAGUAAUUUGUCCUCUUCAUCCUCAUUUUGUGCACGUAAGGUGUUUGUGGAAAUGCCCUAGAGAGAACAUUGUUGCAUCUCUAGCUAUAUCAGUCCAUUUGCUUAUCUGUGGAAGCAUCCCACAUUUUUGGAGCAGCCAUUGCCUGAACCCGAUCUACGCAGCCGCUCGCGGAUGGUUCAGUUUAGUGCAAUGCAUAUCACUAAACAAAGGCAUGUUCUUGUGUAGACUCUGUCCGCCGAGCAACAUACAUUCGACGCUCAUCAAAAUGCGACUAUUUGCAUUUGGAUGGCAAUGAAAGAAAAAUAAUUGUCGGGACCUCCUCGAAUUUGAACUCGGCAGCAUAUGAAUUUGAGUUCAGUUUUGGUCCAUGUGGUAUGCGAGGUACAUUGAUGAACUUUUCCUAAAUAAGGAAGCUUCUUCGACCGCACAGGUAUAUGUUGCAGAUUUGCACUUACCAAAAAAUAUCGAUUCAUGCCUACUAGUUCUGUCAGUAAGCUGUUAUUAAACAUAGUUUGUAGCUUAUGCAAGGAGUUCGUCUAGUGGUGAUAUAGAUGAAAAAUGUAAAGAUCACUUUUCUCAGUCAAAUUUGAUGUAGCUCGAUACUCCUGAUAGAUACAUCUUAAUUCUUCGUCAAUCUCAGAAACAAAUUUCUCGGCGACUAACAGACCUGGAUCAAGUAUUUACAUAUUUCUUUUUUUCCAAUUCAUUUGCAUAAUAGCUGGUCUGAAGACUCUCCACCUUGAGUUAUCAGCAGUUUUCUCAGCAAAUCCGACGUCAGCAAGCGAAGGUCAAUUGAAGUUUCUGCAUGCUUCUUCCCAUGCAUUCCUGAUCACCUACGACUAAAGCAAAAAACUCUACCUGCUGUUACUAUUUGUAGCAUGGAACCGGAGUCAUCUCAUGUUCCACUAAUACCUGGUCUUCCCGAUGAUAUUGCUCUUCUUUGCUUAGCUAGGGUUCCUCGGAGAUACCAUCAUGCCCUGAGAUGUGUUUCGAGAAGAUGGAGAGGGUUAUUAUGUAGUGAAGAGUGGCGCUUAUGCCGCCAAAAGAACAAUUGGGAGGAGACUUGGGUUUAUGCCGUGUGCAGGGACAAGAACAAAGGUGUACAAAUUUAUGUGCUGGAUCCAGAUCGUGCAAGCCGGUGUUGGAGAGUCAUACAAGUUAUUGAAACUCCAUGGAUGAAGCGGGAAGGCGUGUCCUUUGAAACUUUGGGUAAGAAGUUAUAUCUCUUCGGAGGUUGCGGCGGAGGGAAAAAUGCCGUUGAUGACGUAUAUUGUUACGAUGCUUCUGCUAAUCGAUGGGAGACAGUGGCACGAAUGCCAACAGCCAGGUAAUGUGUUAUGCUUGGCUCUUUAAUUGUUCCGUAUUGCAUCUUAGUAUAGACUUUUUCUUUUUUAGUUCUGAGAUAUAUAUAUAUAUAUAUAUAUAUAUAUAUAUAUAUAUGUAAAUUUAUCCUGCAAGAUUUUCUAGUAUCUAUAUGUGUUGGAUAUCUGAAUUUCAUAUCUGAAACUUAAUCUCUUAUGCAUAGACCCCUUUAUUUACACAAGUGCCCAUUUCACAAAUAUUUUAAUAUGUUUGCAGCGACGAUAUUGCAGGUACGCAAAUGUAAAAGCCGCUUUUUCUUUAAAUCUCGAGCGAGUAAGUGGAUCUUUUCCUUCACAAAGGAUGAAGGGCAUUUGGAACUUACUAACUCCUGUUUGUUUCAAAAUAGGCAUUUUUGAUCGUCCUUCUAGAAGCCCAUGAAGACAUUUGACCCUUGGCUGUGAUUCAUAGAUAUCUGGCUCAAUAUGAUCUCAUAUUUGUGGAUUGUACUUAAAACUUUUCAACAUCUGUAAACAACAAAAUUUACGAAAAUCAAUUGAUCGGAAAUUGUUAUAUGCGUAUCAGGUGCUAUUCUGUCUCGACAUCUGUAAACGACAAGCUUUACGUCAUGGGCGGGCUUGGGUCAGAUGGCGCUGCACCGAAUUCUUUGGACGUCUUUGACUCCGAUUCGAAUACUUGGAGCUCGCACGAGAGCUCGAUGCUCACCCGCAAUGUUAUAAAGAUCAUUCCGGUUGAUGAGAAGUUAUAUACUGUGCACAACGAGACGGAGGAUGGCUAUCCCUUUGCCGGAGUUUACGAUCCCUUGUCCAGAAGCUGGCAUGCUGAAGAGAAUGGUAUUGCAGUGUGCUUCUACGGGCCAACGGUCGUUAUCGAUCGGACCGUUUACAUCAUGUUAGAUCAGUAUCUGGGGCCGAGGCUGAUGAUGUGGCAGGAAGAGACCAGCUGGGACCCACUGGGGAGGUUGUCGUACCUACUGGCGAGGCCGCCAUGUCAGCUCGUGACUAUCGGGAGGAGCAUAUUUGCGAUAGGGAGGGGGCUAAGCACGGUGAUCGCCGACGUGGACACAGCCGCUAAGGUUCCGGGGUUUUUAGUGUGCUCUUCGUUCCGACCGAUAUUCGAAGAUGAUUUUAAUGUCAUUAGCUGCAAAACUAUCACCAUUUGAAAUGACCUCUGUAAGAUAUCUAUUUUGCUUUCAUUUGGAUAUUUAAAUUUAAAUAAUAUUCAUAUGAAUCAUGUUCUUUUCCAAAUCUCUUCCUCAAAGCUUUGGCAAAGUGAUCUAUAUAAUGUGUUGCUUACAAUACUUCAUUGUGCCUAACCACCAGGUAGUGAUGUGAACUUUUGUGUUGUGAGGGAGUAGUUUUGUUCAAGUGAAGUUUUAGAUAUAAGAAAUGUAGGGCUUAUUUGGUUUUGCUUUAACAUGUAAUGUUAUUUGAUGAACUGUUGUCGGAGCAGCGCAUGUAGGAGAACUAUGGAUUUAUUAUGGUUUUUUUUUUUUUUUGAAUCGGCUAUCCAGCUUUUUAAAAUUUUGAUUUUACUAUCUAUUUUUUUAAUUUAUUUGAUUUGAAUUGGUCAAUAAUAUUUUAAUUUUACAAUUUAAUCUAAUUAUUUAUUUAAUAAAUUUAUAUUGUGAUAAUUAUAUAAAGCAUUCUAACGAAAUAUAUAAAAUAAACGACACAUUUAAAUUUCUUUAAAUUAAAUGUCGUCGACAAUCUUAAAUCAAUUAAAUUAAAAUAAAAUUAAAAUUUUAAAGGAUUAGAUAACUGAUUUAAGAUGGCCUAUAGUUCAUAUAAUUUUUGUAAGUUUUUUAUUUUGUUUUUUUCCAACAGCAAAAUCAUAAGCAUCUCAAAACAUGCCAUAAUUCCCCCUUAGGUAAUGUAAAGGUAAUGUAACAUCACUAUUAUUAGCGCAUCAUUAAUCACAAUAUUAUUAAAUUAUUUUUGUAUUGAUGAUAUAUUAAUAUUUAGUCACCUAAAUUAUUAUGUUACAGAAUUUAAUUAUAAUAAUUUUAAAAUUUGAGCUAAAGAUUAAACAAAUUAAAAUUUGCCACGGACUUUAUAGUUUGAAGAGCAAGUGCACAAUUCACCAUUAUUUUUAAGUCCAAACCAUGUCAUCUCGAAAUUAUAAGGUCAGAGAUUUGAAUCACCGUUUCAGUAAAGUACAAGAAUCGCUAACUGAUUCAAAAAUCAACCACGCCAAGCAAAAUCAAAACUUCAAAAACAUGCAUAGUCGUCCCAAUAGUUCAGAUCAAUUCCACACUUUCUUUUUUUUUUAAAAAAAAAAAACUAAUUUAUUUAAGUUAAAGAAACCAAAGGAAGAAAAAAAAAAAAAAAAAACUCGUAACACAGGAAUUUCAUCAAACAGGUACCGUGCGUGUACGAGGCGCGCCCCCAACGCCACUGCUCAGCACCCAUAUAUCUCCUUGAGCUUCGCCGCGGCCGAUUCGUCGAUCGAGUACUACAAACACAAAACACGCACAAAAGAAAUAAGAAAAAAGGGGUUUGGGGAGAGAGAGAGAGAGAGAUUAGGGUUCGCAUGUAGGUAGGGUUUUGAGGGGAGGGGGGGGGACCUUGUUGAGGACCCAGGUGGAGUGGGCGUAGGCGCGGCGGAGGAGGUCGGGGAGGGAGGUGGAGGGAUCGGCGUCGCGGUAGUUGACGAAGUUCUCGCGCGCGUACUUGGCGUAGUAGGCGCGCGUCUCCGGGGGGAGGCGCCGCACGAGUCGCAGCACCUCCAUGUACGCUCGGAGCCCCUUCUUCUCCAUUCGCCCCGCCCCCUUCCGAGGAACACUUACUUCACUGGGGAGCUCUCAAAAAUACCUACGACUUUAAAUUAAGGUUAUAAAUAGCGGGUAUUUCGUAGAGUCUUAUAGCGAAAAGCGGAUAACAUAGCAGAAGCUAUCAGUUAUGUAGAGUCGUGUAGCGAAAAGCGGAUAGCAGAUUUCAUAAAUAAAUUUAAGGGAAAACUUUAAAAACCCGCCGUGAUUUCGUAGUUUCUCAUUUUAUUCCCUGUGGUUUAAAAUGUAUCAAAUUGCCCCAUGUGGUUUCGUUUUUAUCCUUUCGGUAGCUUUUUCGUUAAUAUUUUAUUAAAUUAUAUACAAAAAACUUUAAAUACCCAUCUAGAUUUAUCAAAUAUUCAUUUUAGUACCCUUUAAAUUAAUUUUAUCACUGAUUUAAAAAUAAUAAUAAUAAAAUUGAUAAUAAAAAGAAAAAAAAAUCACAAUGGGGCAAAUUGAUAUAUUUUAAAUCAUAGGGGGGCAAAGUGAGAAACUACGAAACCACAGGGGGGUUUUUUAAAAUUUUUCAUUAUUUAAUAUAUUUAUAUUUUUUAUAAAAAAAUAUAUGGCUAAAUUAUAGAAAAUUUUUUAUUAGUAACCGUUUUUCAAUUUUUCUCACUGGUAUUUAAAAACCUACACUUUGUCUUCUUAAAAAGUAAAAAAUGCUCAUUUUAACCCAUCAUCGGUAUUCUUUUAGAGUUUCGUUUAUAUCCUUUUUUUUAUACCCAAAAUAUUUUUGAAAUCCUCUUCAUUUUUCAUCCUCGGCUGCGUCACCUCGCCCUCCACUGCGCCGUCUCGCCCUCGCCCACCUCUCCGUCCACACCAACCUUGAAGAAAAUGGGGGCAAUUUAGUUAUUUUUUCACAGCGUACAUCUCUGUGAACAUUUCUCUUUUUUUAAGGGGAUAAACGGUAGGUUUUUGAAUAAUAGGAUGGAAAAGUCAAAGAAAAUAGAUAUUGAUAUGAGGAUUUUCUAUAAUUUAUCCAAAAUAUAUAUAUAAUUUGAGUAGGUCUUGUGUGCUUUUAGGAGCACGGAGGUCUCCGUGCUCCUAAGCCGUUUUCGAUGAUAGAGCUUCCGAAUCGACGAUCGGCUCCGUUAGACUUGAUAUAGCGUAUUUGAACUAUCUAGAAAAUAAUUUUUGUAAUUUCUCGGUAUCAUUUUCCUAGCGAUCGAAAGGGUUCAAAAUCAACAAUUUUUAAUGGUUGAUGUAUACCGUUUGCAAGUUUAACGAUGUAGAAGUAUUUAAAUCAGAUAAAAUUUUGAUAGAAAAUUCUUAAUACUAUUUACGGUAAGAUCAAUAUCUUUAAUCGAAAAUUUUAAUGCUAUAUCACAAUUUUUUGUGAGAUUUUUAUUUUCAGCCGUUGAUUUUGAACACUUUCCAUCGUUAGGUAAAUGAUAUCUAAAAAUCGCAAAAUUUUUUUUUCUGGAUACUUCAAAUACGCUAGAUCAAGUAUAAUGGAGCUUAUCGUCGAUUCAGAAGCUUUAUCAUCGAAAACGGCUUAGGUGCACGGAGGCCUCCGUGCUCCUAAUAGCACACAAGACCUACUCUAUAUAAUUUUGAAGAAAAGAACUAAUCUUUUAGCACUGCAAAUCUAUAUACGUUUAAUAUUAGUAUCUAUCAAGAAUUUAAGCUUAACUUUAAAAUAUUUAGCAAACUAAAAUAAGCAUAAAAGCUUGAAAAUGUAUAAUCUAUUAACAACCUAAUCAUUCUUUUAACGUACUUUUUAAAGAUUUGGAUUUAUAACCCCCGCUUUUCGACCCCUUCUAGCGGCCACUUUAGCUAUGUUGCUAAAGCGACUACUAUAAACCCGAAAUGUUAUAUACCGCUUUAUAUAACACUGCUUAUGGCCGCUAAUUAAAACACUACUUUAAAUGAAAUUAAUUAAAUAUAUAUUAGUUGAAAUUAGUAGACCUAUAUAUUCAGCUCGUUUUAACACAAAAAUAAAAAAUAUAUAAAAACAAUUAAAAAUAAUUUAAUAAAAAUUUUAUUUUAUAUCUUUUUCUACUAUUUGUUGGUACCUCUUAGAAACUGUUUGUUUUAUGUGAUUGAAUCUGCACUACAAUCAUAAUUAUAUACAAAUCUAAAUUCGAUGUUUGGUUUUGUUACAUUUGAAUCUAGCUAUUCUAAUUGGAACUGUACGAAAAAGUUUAAUUGCAGCAGUUAAAAUUACGUCUAAAUAGACUGCAUUUUCAACUACAGCAAUGAGAAUUAGUAGAGUAAAUAAAAGAUAAUUUUACCUUCCUAAUCACUUUUUAAAUAAAAAAAUUUUUCUUCUCUACUACUUACCUACGUUGAGAAUCACUUACCUACGUUGGGAAUCACUCACCUACGUUGAGAUUAGUUUCCCAUACUGAGAAUUUCACUUUCCUACACUGAAAAUCACUUUCUUAUACUAUACUUUUCUGUGUAGAAAUAUCACACAGAGAAGCAUGUAUACGGGCAACCUUAGUUACCAAUAUAAGUAACUUGAACUAAGUAUAUUGAUAAACCAUCAAUACUAGUUUACUUUUCAGUGUUAGCUUUCCAGUGAAGUGCUUUGUGGGAAAGCACUUAUCAAUGAAGUACUUCGUGGGCAAGCACCGGAUAUAUUCAGGUAUCGUAACCAACGUCUUCCUCUGUCUGUCUUUUGUCAACUUCUCAACUUCAGAAGUAAGUAUUAUUAAGGUAAGAACAAAAUAUAAGAUAAAGAAAACUGUUGAAUUAGCUCACUCACGAGUUUCCGAGCUGAAGCACACACGUUUGCGUCAACUCCAAAUGCGAAGUAACAUAGGACCCUCCAACAAGCAACUAGGCCACGUGUGGUUUAACAAUCUUGCCACCCCUGCCUAAUUCGGAAUUCCUUUCACCGUAACGAUGUGCGGAACUUCGGAAAAAUUAGAAAGAUAAAGUAUGGAAAUAGUGUUAGACAAGGUUGUUAGAAUUCCGAAUUUUGGCUUUUACAGCUGACGAUGAGAUGCUCUCUACCGUUGUUUGAAAUACUCUGAUCUUUCUAAACUACCGUACCUGAAGUCUGCGACCGUCUUCUUUAAUAAAAAGGAAGACAGCUGAGAGUUUCAACGAAUACAGGAGUGAUGAGGUUCUGGUCUUCUUUUGCUACUACUUGGACAACGUGUUUGAGCAUGUUCUGUUUUUACCCUACUUCUACUGUUAUAUACGGCUCCGUUAUAAGAUUUACGAUACAGCCUACGCGAAAAGCUGCAGAUAGUUUUACACUUUUGCCGAUUUCUUGACACCCUUCCGGAACUUCUUUUUAUGUUUAGGCUCCUACGGUGUUCAUUCUUCAAAGAACAAUCGUUUAAAUUAUUGAUAUUUUACCAACUAUCAUCUAGACAAGAUCUAGUUAAUGUACUUUAAGUUGUAUAAGAGUUAGUUAAAUGAGUUGUAUUAUACUUAUACCUACUUAGAUAUUAACACCGGAGAUAUUAGCUAUUUGAAGGAGGUAGUACCUUUCUGAAAUUCUUUUCAGAAUUUGUAUCUUUCCUUCUCUAAUGAGAAUUUCUAAACCGAUUGGUAGAAGCGUAUCUUCUUCUUAUAGCAAACGUUCUAUCGUUUUUCCUCGUUCUACGAGUCUCACGGUUUCACAUACACUGCCUUCUACUCAUAUCAUUUUGGGCAGUUGGGUGUUUUCUUUUAGCUUUCUCUCGAUUCGUAGGCUAGUUGGUGUUGUACUGUUUAUUCUUUUUCUUUCCACGUACGAAAGUAACACCAUUUGGUCCGGUGAUGUUCUUUCUUACAGCCAAGGAGUUUUUCCUUUCACGUGGCCUAAGGUUUUCUUUAAAACACCGAUACUAUAGGCUCCGAUUAUAUGAGCUUCUACUGCCUCGAACCACCUAACUAAGCCCAAGGUGUUCCGUACACACGUUCCUAUUUUCAAAUAAGUUUUGAAUACUACGUAACCUCCUACCUUUGCAAGAGAUAUACCCGUUAAGAAGUUGUCGUGUUUAGUUUCCUUUGCCGUUCCACCUUGAGCUCAAGUGUAGUCCUUUUUGAGAGUGAGAGUGGCUACACAUAGUACAUGGACUUCAAUCCUUCUUAGAAUAAAGUCCUUCAGAAGAAUUGUUUAAACCCAAGUUUGAACAUAAACUCCGGCUGUUUAAAUAAAACAGCUUCCCACCUUAGAAACACCCUUUUCCUAUAAACAUACUCCCGUACAAGUUUGAGUUAGAAUAAUUAUUUUAUUUAUAAAGUCGGAUAUAAUAACUGAGAAGAAGAAAUACCGUAUUAGCAAAUCCUGUACAAUUAAUAUCUUUUAAUGUUCUAUACCGAUUCAAUCUCAAUUAAGGAUUAAAACUAUUAUUUAAUCUUUUUACAUUAUGAACGUACGAGUGAUUUUAAUGAUCUUUCAGAAAAGGAUUUUAACUAUCUACAAGAUUAGAUGAACUCAACCAUGUAUCACUACAAACACUGAACGUACGAAGAGGAAGAUAACCACCUUUCUUUAUAAAACAAUGUAAAUAACUACUAAAAAGAUCUAUAUCAAUACAAAUAGAAAACGUAAGAUUUUUACUUCGCGAUCUAUUUAAAUCUUAUAUAUUUAGACUUCAACUCCACUUUACACUCUUUUACCAGUUUACGGAUUCUUGUCUGUCUUCUCCUCUUAUAAUACUAGGAAGUAAAAAACUCAGGUAACCAUAAUAUGUACUUUGGAGACGUGGAAUAUGAGGUGUUGUUUUGCCUCAACGUCUUUCUUUUUUAUCUUGUAAUUACCUUUACCAGUUACGAUACGAAAGAUUGAGACCCAAUUCAAUACCUAAAACCCCGCUUCGAAAUAAUUGUCGAACGGUAGAUGAUUUAUCUUAGGGUUGUUUUUUCUUACUAUUUUGAGGAAUACUUAAUAAGUUCCCUUCUUUCGGGUUAAAUUUAAUAAAUUUUCAAACCCCAACAUCUCGAUAACACUCCCAAGGUCUUGGCUUUUCUUUCUUUGACCCACUUUCUCCUUAACUCACGUAUAAAUAACCCAUACGUGUUGUAUCAUUUCGUAUGUCUAAAAUGCACUAACUUAGAUUACUGAAGUAACUCUAGUUGUGUCAAAAACUUAGAUUUCUACGAUAUAAACUACUUUUGUCUAAACAUAGUUAAGGAUCUGGGUUUCUUGAAUAACACUCAUUUCUUGUGAGGUUACUCUUUUUACUACAACGUUAACUUUGGGGUCUUGAAUCUUCCUCAUUUUCUCAAUCUUAACGAUUUUGUAAACCUGGUCUAAAAAUAUGAAAAGAACAACUCCCAUCAUCUCUUUACUAAUGUCUUUCAAAGGUUAAAACAAAUUUGUAACUGAGUCUGGGGUGUUGUAAACUCCUCCGUUACUUUAGAGGACUACAGCGAAAAACCUUUCUUCGCUAUUUACUACUUUACCUGAGUUAAUACUGUUUGGUUUGUACCUUUAAUCAACUAGAAGGAGGACCUACAUUUGGAUAACCCACAUUUACCUAAAAGUUUUUCUUUUAGUUACAUUUACCGUGGUAUCUAUUUAAGUUCCGUUCUGAACAACGGUUUCCCAAAUGUGUUUUUCUUCCAUAACUAAUAAAACUAUGGAUACGUGGACAACGGUCUAAUCGCUGAUAAUCUUGAAACUAACGAGAACGAAGUUACAUAUUAAACUAAUAAGUAGUUUACCUACAGUUUUGUCGUAAGAAUUUACCUCUUAAUCUACUUCUUCAAAUAUACCUUGUCGGGCUCCCGAAACAACAAGGACCUGUUCUCGUGUUUCACACAUUUGAAUAGUUCAGCAACAUACCCGAAUUUGUUCGUGGAUUUGUUACCGUAGUUUUCAAACUAGUCUAACAAGAAAGGUUACCAAUAUUUUAAUUAGUUAGACUAUUUACACAAAUAUCAUUUAAAAGUUUACCAUUUCCACAAUAAUAUACAGAUAUACAACUACUGUACAAUUAAAAACCGUGGCUACAAGUCGUUCAUCUUUUAUGAUUUUUAAAAAAUAGAACGUUAAAACUAUACUUUCUAUACCCCCUCCGACUAUAAUAAAACCCUUAAUUUUAAUAAGCACUUUUAUUACCUAAUAAAAAUUGUGUCAGAGUAAUAUAGCUUUUCUAAGAAUCUUUUAAACCAAUUAAACUAACAUGAGGUCAUAGUUGAGAAAAACUAGGAUUAGAUUUUGAUCAAGCAUUAUGACCAUCUAGUUAAUUAGUCAAUCUUAUAAGAUUCUAAUAACCUUCAAACUACAUACGGUACAGAACAUGAUCCGGACUAUAACGUAAACGACAACCAUUUAAUUCAUCUAAAUGAUCGUUAGGUCCAUUACAUGUAACCGUACGAUAAAUGUCUUAAAACUUUAUAAACUUUUUCUGUUACCUGAUACCUUAAAAGAUAUCACCUAUAGGUUGUCAUAACCUUCCGAUAUGUCUACGGUCAACCUAUUGUCUAGUUCUUCUAGUACGUAGGUGUUCACCCACCUAUAAAUAUAAUCCACCUCCACGCUAAAGAACCCCAAGAUUCUUUGUCUGUACAUAUCGCCUGAGAUGGUACCGUCGUCUUAAAUAUCGUGAUCGCAGACGAUCAUUCCUCCGCCUUACCUAUUCCUUAAAUAAUAUACUUUAAGGUCAAACCGGUUUUGGUUACGGCGGCCAUAGCGAUGUAACGCUAUCACUUCGAUGCGAGAGUUCUCGUAUAUCAGUUUGUAUGUUACCCUUCAGUUCUGUAUAACCUAAUUCUGUAUCGAUACAUUUUGUUGACUAUAGUCUACCGUAUUAAUGGUAACUAAAACAUUCUAGUUUGGUUUUAGAACGCCUAGGCAACUGAUUCCCUGAAGGUUCUCUUAACUAUAAGUCCUGUAGCUACCCCUACCCAGAGUUCGGGUAUAAUGUUUCAGUGGUUACUACCUUUGAGCUGAAUUGUGAACUUUGUAGUAGUUCAGAAUUCAAGUUACUCGGUUUCAUGUAGUAUACCUCACUAACGUUCGUGAUAUUAUAUUUUAAAGGUAGGGUUCAUUUCACGAACCAUAGGCAUAACUUUUCCCUUCCAACUUGAUUAUUUCAAGAAUUAUCUGGAUGUCAUCAUAAAUGACUUCACAAUUUAUGCCCUGUGAAGACCAUCUCAGAUGGAUAUACUUACACUUCACACCGGCGAAGAUCCUCAAUUCCCGAACUGAGAUUGUCGUAAGUACUUUGUCCUACGCCUGUGUUCCGGUAUUUUCACAGUCGUUAUUUUAUCUCGUGAGCUGACUAAUAUUUAAAGAUACACACUCUAUACAGGCCAAUUAGCUUUUAUUAACAACCAAGUUUCGAACAGAUAGUAAGUUAAUACUGAUUGAAACUACACAAAAGUGAUUCACAUCCAAGUUCAAAAUUAUGUGGAUGUGGAUACGUAUGCCAAAACAGUUCAACAGUUCUUAAAACUAAAACUAAAAACUAAAACAAAAUAAAACGAAAAACUACAUAAAAAUACAUAAAAUUUUAAACCACCCUUUAACAUUCCUUUUAAAAUUUUAUUAUAUAAAACAAAUAACAAAAAUCACUUACCUACACUAAGAAGCACUUUCCUACGUUAGGAAUCACUUACCUACGUUGAGAAUCACUUACCUACGUUGGGAAUCACUCACCUACGUUGAGAUUAGUUUCCCAUACUGAGAAUUUCACUUUCCUACACUGAAAAUCACUUUCUUAUACUAUACUUUUCUGUGUAGAAAUAUCACACAGAGAAGCAUGUAUACGGGCAACCUUAGUUACCAAUAUAAGUAACUUGAACUAAGUAUAUUGAUAAACCAUCAAUACUAGUUUACUUUUCAGUGUUAGCUUUCCAGUGAAGUGCUUUGUGGGAAAGCACUUAUCAAUGAAGUACUUCGUGGGCAAGCACCGGAUAUAUUCAGGUAUCGUAACCAACGUCUUCCUCUGUCUGUCUUUUGUCAACUUCUCAACUUCAGAAGUAAGUAUUAUUAAGGUAAGAACAAAAUAUAAGAUAAAGAAAACUGUUGAAUUAGCUCACUCACGAGUUUCCGAGCUGAAGCACACACGUUUGCGUCAACUCCAAAUGCGAAGUAACAUAGGACCCUCCAACAAGCAACUGGGCCACGUGUGGUUUAACAAUCUUGCCACCCCUGCCUAAUUCGGAAUUCCUUUCACCGUAACGAUGUGCGGAACUUCGGAAAAAUUAUAAAGAUAAAGUAUGGAAAUAGUGUUAGACAAGGUUGUAAAAAAUAAUAUUUAUAAUAAUUUAAUAAAAAAAAGAGUGGCUAUGGAUAUAAUAAUAAUUGUUUAUGUAUUAAAUUUGUUUAGAAUAUUAAAGCAACUCGGUAGACCAACCUACAUAAAUUUUUAUAUCAUAUUUUCUAUUCAUAUAAACUACUACAUCAUCAGUAUUGAUCCCCACCGUUAGGUCGAGCGACAAGCGCUCGGUCGAGCACAAACCGAGCUUUACUCGAGCUCUAGCCGAACGAGCAAAUCAUUUGCUCGGCUUGUACUCGACUUAAAAAGUCGAACAAAUUAUUUGCUCGGCUUGUGCUCGACCCUAGUCGAGCGGGCACAAGCCAAGUUAUUGUCGAGCUUAUGUAUAUAAAAUAUAAAUAUAUUAAAUAAAUUAAAUAUAAAAAUAUAUAUUUAUUUAUUAAUAUAUAUUAUAUAUAAAAAUAAUAAAUUAAAUGGUUUUAUUUUUAUAUUUACGCUCCAAUUAAUAUUUUUUUGAGUAAUUAUACAUUUCAAAGUUGAUAAUCUAGUUUCAGAUUAUUUAUUCUAAAAUAUUUAAAUAAAAAAUAUAUAUAAAUUAGAUUAGGAAAAAUUAAAUAACAAACAACCGGUCGAGCACUCGGUUGAGCACAAGCCGAGCAAUUAUUUGCUCGGCUUGUGUUCGACUUAAAAAGCCGAGCUAUGAAAUUGCUCGGUCCAGCAUAAGCCGAGCAAAUUAUUUGCUCGGUUUGUGCUUGGCUGGGGUCGAGCGAGCACAAGCCGAGCAAAUGUGGGGAUCAGUAUUGAUAUAUGGUGCAAACCAACCUUUGUUAUUUUAAUAAUGUUGAUAUCUAUUAAAUAAAUCAACGUAUAGUAAUUCUCACAUAAAUAUUUUAAAAUAGUGAAAAAUAUACACUACCACUCUAACGAAGAUUUUUCGUGAUAGUUACUUCAUGAAGCACCCGUUCCGUGGCUAUAUAAGUCCUAUAGCAUUGGUUGUCAGAAGGAGAGACAGAAAACAGUUGAAGAGUUGAAGUCUCAGUUCUAAUAUUCCAUUCUUGUUUUUAUUCUUUUUCUGUUUGCACAACUUAAUCGAGUGGACUCAGGUCAAAGGCUCGAAUCCUGUUGUGUGCACGCAGUUGAGCGUUUACGCUUCUUUGAUGCCUGGGACGGUUGUUCGUUGAUCGGUGCACACCAAUUGUCUUGAACCGGUGGGACGGAUUAAGCUUAAGGAAAGUGAGAUUGCUAACACGCCUUGAAGACUUUUUAAAUCUUCUAUUUCAUAGCUUUAUCCAAUCUUGUUCCAACAUAUUCUUUAAGGCUUAGAAACCGAAAAAGUCGACUGUAUGCUCUACGAGAGAUGGCAAACAAACUUUUAUGAGACUAGAAGAUUUGUCGGCGAUGGACUAGAUGAGGCGAAGAAAAUUAAUUUUGUCCCUUCUGUCGACUACUCAAAGUUGCUCUAUGUCCUCAUCUACUGCCAAGACCAGAAGAAACGAUUGAUGAACCUGUUGCACAAACUCGGUACAAGACAACAAAUGAGAUGAAAUAUAUGCCGAUGGCAAUAUUCAUAAAUGUAUGUCGGAUGCGCGAUUUUUCGACGCUAUCAAAAUGUGAAAACGGCCCUAAAGAACUGUGGGAAGGCCUUGAAAAAAAUACAAAUCGAGAUGCCACAAGUAAGGAAAGUUUGCUUGUUAGCAAAUUUAAUAACUAGUAAGAUGGUUGAUGUAAGAUCUGCUUCUAGAUCAAUUAAAUGGAAUUCAACAUUAUCUCAACCAAUGAUUACUCCAACAUAAUGAUGAAUAUUGGAUGAUUCUAUAAUGUGCCUCUAUAAUCGAUAAACUUCACUUCCAUCAUGGACAAGACUUAAGAAAAGCUCUAACUAGAACAAAGGAAGACGUUACUCUUAAAAUUUUGGCUAAACCAUCUUCGCAUAGAAAGAAGAAUUAUCGUUCUGCAAGAUUAGCAAAGAGGGCAACCCAACCGAUGCUCAGAAGUGCAAGUGUAAAUGUGACGGAAGAUGAGCUAUAGUAAACCGUCAAAACCACAGAAGAAAAAUCAUCUCUCUUCUNNNNNNNNNNNNNNNNNNNNNNNNNGGUGUUUCGUGAAGUGACCUUUCGAUUGUGACUUUUCAUUUGAUCAUAACUACCAAAUAGUUAUAUGAAUCAAGUUCAAUGAAUAUAACCAUUGAUUCCAACGGGCAUAUGUACGAAGAGACACACUAUAAAGAUGUGUCUUUUCAUAUCAUAUUCUUUCACUAAAAGUCACAUCCUUUCACUUUAAGAGUCAUACCCUUUGAUUAGAGUUGCAUCCACUCACUAAGGGUUGCAUCCAUUCACUAAGAGUUGCAUCCAUUCAUUAAGGAUUGCAUCCUUUCACGAAGAAUCACAUCCAUUCACUAAAAACAAUAAACAAAAUAUAUUAUUUUAAAAUUUUCCUUACAAAAAAAACACAGAUAGAAAACAAAUUAUAUAUAAUUUAAGACAUUAAUUAAAUAUAAAAAUAUUUUUGAAAUAAUAGUAUUAAUGUUAGACAUAUGUAACAAAUAAUAAUAAUAAUAAUAAUAAUAAGUAUAACAUUAUAGUGUAGGUAAUUUGGGUCCCACAUUAUGUAUUUUAGUAAUAAAAAUAAUUUAUUUGGCUCUGAAUUUUCCAGCUAGACCAGUUGGGGUCGUCUCGAGAACUGAAAUGACACAUUUGUCCUUUACUCCAACCACUCUGAAUACAAAGUUUCAGAUCCCCCACGUGAAUAUCGUACGACAAUGUGUCCUCCCACCUUCUUUAUCCGACACGUGUACAUCAGCCGAUACACGCCGUCGCUCCCUAUUCCCUCUCCCCAAAAACCCUAGCAAAACCCUAGCUAAACCCUCCUCCCUCUUCCCCCCCUCCGCCGCCGCCACAAUGCAAACCCUAGCCCCCUUCUCCUCCCACACCUCCGGCGCCGUCGCUCUCCGCCGUGUCCCGCCCCUCCGCGCCGCCGCCGCCGCCGCCGCCGCCGCCGAUGCUCCUACGCCGCCCGCCACCACGCAAGCGAUUCCCCCGGCGCCGCCGCGGAAGAUCAACCUCUACAGCUCCCGCAUCACGGAGCCCAAGUCCCAGGGCGGGUCCCAGGCCAUCCUCUACGGCGUGGGGCUCUCCGAAGCCGACAUGGCGAAGCCCCAGGUGGGGAUCUCCUCCGUGUGGUACGAGGGCAACACGUGCAACAUGCACCUCCUCCGCCUCGCCGAGGCCGUGCGCGAGGGCGUGCGCGACGCGGGGAUGGUGGGGUUUCGAUUCAACACCAUCGGGGUGAGCGACGCGAUCUCCAUGGGCACGAGGGGCAUGUGCUAUAGCCUCCAAUCGAGGGACCUCAUAGCGGAUAGUAUCGAGACCGUAAUGGCCGCGCAGUGGUACGACGCAAACAUUUCCAUCCCCGGAUGUGAUAAAAAUGUGAGCUUUUUUUGUCUCCUUAUUAGCCAUUUCUUCUUUAUUUUGUGGCUUUUCUCAUUAGCUCUGUGCAAAAUGUUAGCUUAAUGAGCACCUUAGCUGUUCCGUUUGCGCAAUUUAAGGGGAAAAAAAAUGUUAAAUUACAUGAAACAACCAUUUUUAUCUAAAAGCUUAAGUUACAAAGAGAGCGGUAUUUUCAAUAAAUUUAUUUAUUCAACAUGAUACCAUGUUAAAAUGUAUUACAAAAAGAGGGAGAGUGUUGAAUAUAAAUAUUGAAAACACCGUUCUUUGAUAGCUUAAGCUUUAGAGAAAAAUGGUUGUUUCAUGUAAUUUAACAAAAAAUAUGUAAUUUUUGCUCUUCUUUUGCAUUCGAUGAUUCUUGGUCUUUAACUACUGUGUUUCUGACUUUCUGCUUAUAAUGUUGUUGGAAAAGUGCUAUCUUGGAUGGAGAGUUUCUUGCUUCUUGCGGCAUUAAGAGUUGCUGCAAUAUAGUGGAAGCAUCACUUUGUUCUCUUUAU